rnacentral:lncRNA from 1 species
UGAACCCUCACGAACCUGCCUUAACCCAAGGCUUACGAUGAUUCAGACCGAACUGGCAACCCGACCCUGGGUCCCAGCUCGUCCCAAGCCAACCCAGGCCAACCAUUCCACAUUUUAGUUGUUGAGCAAAUUUUAAGAAUUAAAACACUAACUUGGGUACAUUGCUCGGCUUGCCCAUAACCGAGGGCGCGGCUAUUCGAAUAGAUUAUACUCUGAUCAGAGGUGUACAUCUUUACCCACAAGACACAUCUUCCUCACGUGUAACCACGUGCCACAUACCACCACGGUAUACGGACGGAAGACGUGACAUAGUUUCCAACCCAUCCUAGCCAUAGACAAGAGUACCGACCCAACCCCACCUACGGCCGGAACCUCCGGGACAGGUAGGCAGGAUUGAGCCCCUAGCAGCAGGACACCAGCCCUGUGCCAUGACAUCUCGACUACCGGGCCGCAGCUCGUGUAGCCUUCAUUUGUCCUAGAGAUGUCCAUCGACCCCCGACUUCGUCCAUCUCCAUCCGUGUACUUUUGUUUAUAACCAGACUGAGCCACAAACUAAGCCUUACCCACUAGACAUGUGGAAGUACGGUAGUGCUUUGCAACAGAGGCCCGAGCUUAAUCCUUAUAGUACCCGAGGUACGACUAACAAAACCCAACCACGCACCUCGAGCCCAGCCUAAAACCAUUUUGGGGGUUUUGAAUAGAGGGGGAGGUGUGUGUCCAAUUCCAACAUAAGCCAACCAUUCCAUAGUGUCCAAAUGAUAUGAGAAUUCCCAAAGUCUAAAGUUAUAAAACCACCUAAUGUUGCCUAAUUAACCAGCAAAGCAUCUACCUAAGUUUAUACUAGUGGAACCAUGAAUAGAGUACCCACUAGUUGGGGUUUUAUUUUCCUAGGGUGAACAAGUUAAUAAUAUCAAUAGCAAUAAUAAUGUCUUAACAAAGGUAAAUAGGCAUGGCUAAAUAAAACAGUGAUAACGCAGGAAUUUAAAUAAAGCGAUAAUGCAUUAAUUUAAAUCAAAAUAAUUUUAUAAACUGGGAUUCAAUAUGUUCAAGGAUGAUGUGACUUGCCUUGCUCGCUUUCCCAAACGCCAGCUUCAACUUCCACGAAGAGCGGAUCUUCCGAAGCUGCAGCGUCUACACGACCGACGGAAUAGAAAAGGCUUUUACACUAAUAAACUCCAUAUAACAAGCAGAAACAAAGCACAAAAAUGGGUUCUUGACUUCUUAAGGAAAAAUUGGAGACUUGAACGGUCCAAUUCCGAGUUCAAAUGGCCAAGUUAUGGCCAUUUGAAGUUUAUAUGCUCUUUAAAUGGAUAUUUACGAAUUUCUUCAUUUAAAUUUUAAUUUAAAAUCGGAUUUAUUGCGUCAGCCGAGGGGAGGGGCGCGCGGACCGGGUCCACGGGAGUGGGGCCCACGCGGCAGCCUCACGGUCCACGGUGGACCGGGUGCACGCGGCUUGCGCCGGCCGGCGCCGUGGGUCCCACGCAUCAGCCGUACCCGCGGGCGCGGGCGGCUGACGGCCGGGCCCCACAUGGCAGCCGCGGGGCGCGCCCGAAGGCGGCCUCGCCGGCACAGCCGACGGGAGGCGACGCGCCCGCGCCCCUAUGGUCGCCGGCGGCGACCUCCGGCGCGACGGAGCGGCGCCCGAGAGAGGGGAGGGAAGGGGGAAGCGAAAUGGCGGUCCUCGGCUCACCCCGGGUCGACGGCGACGACGGGAACGGCGACCGAAGCGGAGAGAGGCGGCGGCGCGGCUCGGGUCGACGAGGACGGCGGCGUUCCGGCGGUCGGCGGGCGAAACGAAGGGGUGGACGAAGUCGACGGGGACGCGGCGAAGCCGAAGGAGGCGAUGCCGAAGCGGGAGGAGGUCCGGGGCGACGACGGCGGCGAACCGAAGCUCGGCGGCGACGGCGGAGAGAGAGGACGACGGCGCGAGCUCGAUUCCGACGGGGAGAGAAAGCGGCAAGGGUCGGAAACGGAGGAGGGAGGCACGGGGAGUGCUUAAAUAGUGUUGGGAGUGAGAGAGGGCGGCCGGAGGGGAAGGAAACCGGCGCGGCGAUCUCGGCUCCAUCAAUGACGCCGGCGAAGUUUGCGGGAGGAUUUCCAAACGAAUCCGAGAGAGAGAGAGAGAGGGAAAAGUGGGGGGAAAGAGGGAGGGAAUCACGGGGAGUGAUUUCCCCCUCUUUAUUGCGCGCGGGGACGGCGGGAUGCGGCGGAAUCCGCGGCGGCGGCGGCGCUAGGGCACGGGCGAGGCGGCGGGCGCGGCGCGAGGUAGGGGAUGACGGGUGGGCCCCACCCGUCAGCGAGGGUGGCGGGCGGGCCCGCCCGUCAGCGGCGCGCGCGCGGGGAGAGGCCGAGUGGGCCGCGGGGAGGAGGAGAGAGAGGGAGGGAGAUGGGCCGAGCCGGCCCAAGAGGGGGAAGGGGGGGAAAAAGACUUUUUAGAGCUUUUCUUUUUAUAAAACCAUUUUAACUUUGUUUAUUUCUUCUUAAUUAUUAUUUGUGCUGUGAAAAUUCCACUAAAAUUUGAGGGCUCCUUUUAGACCAAGGAGAAUUUAACAAAAAUUCUCCGGGCCACAUUUGAAUUUUUCUUGUACGUAUUUUAGUGUUUGCCAAUUUCUUUUCAAAUUUUAAUUAAUUCUAUUAUUCCUUUUGGCGAAUGAUUUUUAAUUUUGGGAUGAAUUUAUCAGGACGUGACAAAUCCACCCCCCUUACAAGAAUCUCGUCCCCGAGAUUCGAGGAGGCUAGCAAGAAGAUAGGUUGGGCGGUCUUCUCUUCUUGGUUGACUUCUUCCGUCGCGUCUUCUAUAACAAACUUGCCUAGCAAAACUUCUCCACUCUGGACUGCUUGGCUCGAUCUCCUGUUAUAGAUGGAAUCUUCUCUUCACAUGACUUUUCCCUGGUUGCACCUCUAGCUGACUUCGACUGGCGGCGGCAUUGGAAGAUGGGGCUUCAGUUCCAGAACUUCUUAUAACUCAUAUCUUUGGAGUCACCCUCAUACAAGUUACCACUUCAUGUCAUGCGUCAACACUAGCUUGUCAUUACUAAGAUACCAUGCUUGUCAUCAUGAGAAUACCAUGCUUGUCAUUUACUUCUAACUUGCCACCAACUGCCUCAUAUUAGCUCUCCUGCUCUCCGGGUGCUAGCUACUUCUGCUAUUCGAUGCAAGGGUCGGUAACUUUGCCUUUGAAUUAUGCUUCCCAAGAGAACCAACUUAUCCCACUUGACAUACUUUGACGUCUUCCCAAAUGGCUUUAUUGCUGGAUUUGUUAUUGUCUAAUCAUUAUCCUGCCAAAUUUGAAGCUUCGUUGUUAGAUGUGAUUUUAAUCUGACCUCUGUAGACUAUCUUCGAACAUAUCACUUGGUUCAUAACUGGGAAUAGCUCCCACGAACAAGCAACUCGGAUUCACUUUCUUUACAUUCAGUUUACUUCCCAUUAUUAUCUUCAGGUUGUCCUCAGUUAGCAUUCAACGUAUUCCUUUACACCUUUAACCUUGAUGUGUUCUUUCCCAUUGGAUCAUCUCCCAAGACAUGGCAUUGCCUGGUAACCGGUGCUUGCACUUUUCACUCCGUGUAGCAUCUGAUACCGAGUUGAAGAUUUCAAUCUUUGCCUUCAUAGAAACACUUUUACCUAGGUCAUCUUGCUUACUUAAUGACAAGGUGACAGUUGCGGGGCAAUUACAAUUAGGGGUCUUCCUUGAGCGAUGCAGAGCAUGUUUCUGUUUAUCAAUCACCUUUCGGCCUACUUCUUUCAUGCUAGAGAACAUCUUUGCCAAUCUCUUUUAUCAAUCUUCUUUCGGCUUAUCUCUAACAGGUGGUAUUCUUUAAUGUGGAUUGCGGACGCUUCUGGGGACGAUGAGGUCCUUUGGCUUGCUGCCUUUCAGUGAAACCUUGAUGUGGUUUGUCAAAAAGCUGCACUGACUACCUUCAGGGAAAUACAUUGCUUGCUAUCUAUAUCUAUGCCACUAGGGUUUAAUUGCCGAUGAUCAUCUUUAGUGCUUCCUCGAGAUGGGGAGCAUCCAAAUUGUUCUUCUGCCAUAUCACCUUUGACCCUUUUCUGAUACCUGAUAGACUAAUUACCAACCAUCGACUACUAUGUUCUCAAAUAUUGAUGUCUCCUGGAUCUUCUUAACUGUUUGUAGGUAUAUCCGAACUUAUCAAUGUAGAGGCAUGGCGGGUACCCUUAUGGGUUUCAUCCAACAAUCCUUAUCUUGAUCUGUAAAAGGCGUAUCCAAACUCCUAUCCCCAACUACUGUCUCAUUGGCUUUUUAACCCAACACAGUUUAAUUGGUUUUCUUUUCCAUCAACAGGUUGGUUAUUAACUCGAGGUUAGAACAUAGUUCCUCUGAAAUGAGACCCUAGGUCUCCUUUAUCAGCAAGCAAUUAUACACAUAAUCACAUAUCCGCAUCUUCCAAAAGAAUCCUCAUAGAACUUGUCUGUAAGCACCUUUCCUUUUAGGCAGUGCUUAGCAUCGGUACAUUGUUUCUGCUAUGGGUUCUGAUUAACACGAGGCCUCACGGGUACGGCGUUUGCUCCAGUGACCACAAUACGAUUGGGAUGUCUGCUUUGUGUAAAUUGGCGGUAAUGUGGAGGUCGACUUUGCCUUGGUUGCAGGCAGUCCCUCGAGUAAUGCCCUGUUUCUUUGCAAUUGUAGCAAAUCAACGUCUUCUUUGCUGAGCUAUCCGUCUGGGGACGGUCAUUCUGACUUGGAGUUGGAAUUGGUGGCUAGAAAUCCUUGCUAACAUUGGCAUCAGUGGUACCAUAGUUGCUAUCACCAUCGGAGUCUUUCCCAGAGUCCCAAUUGCUAGGGUUGUCAUUUUGGGUGCCAUCAUUGAUACUAUCGUCGACAUCUUGGUGAAUGAUGUUGACAUUGCACGCUUGAUUCGAGUGGUCACUAUUGGGGCAAGAAGCAUGGUUGUUGGUGGUAACAUCAUCAUCAUUAGUAUUGCUAAUGUUGUUGUCUGCAUUGUGUCCAUCUUCUUGGGGCGGAAACUCUUGAUGCGCAACAGAAGAUCCGGUGAUCUGAAGUGGCUCAGUGCGCUGUCCUUGGUUACCACAUGGAAAUACUGGGAUGUUGACCAUCCUUCUCUUGCAGUUCGUCAUCCGAUUAUGCUCACUUUCAAGUUGCAUGGCUUUGUCCACAAGUUUCUCAAAAUCUUCAAAAUCCUCUAGGAGUAGUUGCACUGCAAGCUCAUCUUUUAACCCCUGGAGAAACUUCUCUUGUUUGUCUUCAUCCGUUUCCACAUCUUCUGGUGCAUAGUGAGCCAAACGAUAGAACUCGUGCAGGUACUCUGUGACGGUCAAAUCUCCUUGCUUCAGGUAGCGAAACUCUCGUUUUCUUAGCGUGAUCAUUCCUGCGGGAACAUGUGAUCUCUUGAAUACAGAUGAAAACUCGUUCCAGGUGAUGGUAUGUCCUUCUGGCUGUGAUGCUUCGUAGCUAUCCCACCACUCUGAAGCCGGUCCAACCAACUGAUGAGUUGCGAAGCCAACCCGCUCCUGGUCGGUGCACUGAAUCAACCCUAGCUUCUUCUCGACUGUGCGCAACCAAUCACUGGCUUCCAUAGGAUCGACGGCAAUGGCAAAGGUUGGAGGCUCAGUUUUGAGAAAUUCUGAUAACUUGCACUGUUGCUGGACUGUGGGUACUUGAACGUUGGUUGCCCCUGCUGGGUUGUUCCAAUUCUGUAAUAGUUGAAAGGCUGUUGCCAACAUGUUGGUUUGGUUAACCACAAUUUGGAUUAGCUCUGGUGAGGUUUCGUUGAUGCUUUUCUCAUUCCCAUUGGCUUGGGUUCUUGAGUCAUCGGAUCCAUCAUUCCCAUAGCCUUUGUUACCAGUGUUAUCCAUCUGUCACAAGGUAGAGGUUGAGAGGGGAAGCAUACAAGGAAAGAAUCGACCAGAACUAGGGACAAGACCUUAAAGGAACUAACUCUUUUUGUUGAUGUGUUGUUUGUUUUGCUUAUUCUGCAGGUUGAUUAAGCAAACAACCUAGCAUGGUUACAUCACAACCCACCGAUGCAAACCACGCGCUACACACACAAGCAAGGAAACACAUGACAAACGAAACACUAGAGGGUGGCUUAGGUUCUGCGACGGGUUCUCCAAGAUCUUCACUCCUGCUUCACAGCUGGCUUCACUGCUUCCCUCACUUCACUAGCGGAUCCUGCAGCCUUCUGGAGCUUCGGCAGACAAUUGACGACAUCUUCUUCUUUGCAAAACUAACCAUCUAGUACUAGUGGAAAAUCCGAAGGAGGAAGAAAAGAGAAUAAACAUUUUGCAAAUAGCACAGGGGAAAGGAGGAAAAAGGGACUUUCGCAAAUAGUUUCAUUUAUAAAAUAUGUCCUUAGGUUUUAUCCAUUUGGCUUAUCCUACAGUCGAGAUGGCUCUGAUACCAGCCUGUCGCGACCGAGAAAAAUACAUUUUCCCGAACGCUAGUGUAUUAAUCCCCGUCCCAGGAAAAGCCGGGGUACACCACACAAACAUGAUAUAAAAGACACAUCUUUAUUAUAUCGAUAAUAUUUACAUUAUUACAAAGGCGCUUCAGGCCUGGCAAUCAAAAAUAUACAGCAGCGGACUAGCGGGCCUACGGCUCCAUCUUCACAGGCGCUCAACUGGGGUAUAAGCCAGGACUCCACCUAAGACAUCUUCUCGAAAGCUUCUCUUACUGAAGAGGGGAAAGAUUGAGCAAGAAUGAGUACAACCACAGUACUCAGCAAGCCACACCGGCAGAUGCAUGAUUAAUGCAAGGGGGUACAAGGGGUAAUAAUAUAGGGGUUAAGCUUUGCAGAAAACAGCAUUUAAAAGUCACUUAGUUGCCCAAAGCCAUUUUAUAAAGACGACCCUAGAGCUACACAAAAUUAUUAAUCAAGGCCGUGAACCCUCACGAACCUGCCUUAACCCAAGGCCUACGAUGAUUCAGACCGAACUGGCAACCCGACCCUGGGUCCCAGCUCAUCCCAAGCCAACCCAGGCCAACCAUUCCACAUUUUAGUUGUUGAGCAAAUUUUAAGAAUUAAAACACUAACUUGGGUACAUUGCUCGGCUUGCCCAUAACCGAGGGCGCGGCUAUUCGAAUAGAUUAUACUCUGAUCAGAGGUGUACAUCUUUACCCACAAGACACAUCUUCCUCACGUGUAACCACGUGCCACAUACCACCACGGUAUACGGAUGGAAGACGUGACAUAGUUUCCAACCCAUCCUAGCCAUAGACAAGAGUACCGACCCAACCCCACCUACGGCCGGAACCUCCGGGACAGGUAGGCAGGAUUGAGCCCCUAGCAGCAGGACACCAGCCCUGUGCCAUGACAUCUCGACUACCGGGCUGCAGCUCGUGUAGCCUUCAUUUGUCCUAGAGAUGUCCAUCGACCCCCGACUUCGUCCAUCUCCAUCCGUGUACUUUUGUUUAUAACCAGACUGAGCCACAAACUAAGCCUUACCCACUAGACAUGUGGAAGUACGGUAGUGCUUUGCAACAGAGGCCCGAGCUUAAUCCUUAUAGUACCCGAGGUACGACUAACAAAACCCAACCACGCACCUCGAGCCCAGCCUAAAACCAUUUUGGGGGUUUUGAAUAGAGGGGGAGGUGUGUGUCCAAUUCCAACAUAAGCCAACCAUUCCAUAGUGUCCAAAUGAUAUGAGAAUUCCCAAAGUCUAAAGUUAUAAAACCACCUAAUGUUGCCUAAUUAACCAGCAAAGCAUCUACCUAAGUUCAUACUAGUGGAACCAUGAAUAGAGUACCCACUAGUUGGGGUUUUAUUUUCCUAGGGUGAACAAGUUAAUAAUAACAAUAGCAAUAAUAAUGUCUUAACAAAGGUAAAUAGGCAUGGCUAAAUAAAACAGUGAUAACGCAGGAAUUUAAAUAAAGCGAUAAUGCAUUAAUUUAAAUCAAAAUAAUUUUAUAAACUGGGAUUCAAUAUGUUCAAGGAUGAUGUGACUUGCCUUGCUCGCUUUCCCAAACGCCGGCUUCAACUUCCACGAAGAGCGGAUCUUCCGAAGCUGCAGCGUCUACACGACCGACGGAAAAGAAAAGGCUUUUACACUAAUAAACUCCAUAUAACAAGCAGAAACAAAGCACAAAAAUGGGUUCUUGACUCCUUAAGGAAAAAUUAGAGACUUGAACGGUCCAAUUCCGAGUUCAAAUGGCCAAGUUAUGGCCAUUUGAAGUUUAUAUGCUCUUUAAAUGGAUAUUUACGAAUUUCUUCAUUUAAAUUUUAAUUUAAAAUCGGAUUUAUUGCGUCAGCCGAGGGGAGGGGCGCGCGGACCGGGUCCACGGGAGUGGGGCCCACGCGGCAGCCUCACGGUCCACGGUGGACCGGGUGCACGCGGCUUGCGCCGGCCGGCGCCGUGGGUCCCACGCGUCAGCCGUACCCGCGGGCGCGGGCGGCUGACGGCCGGGCCCCACAUGGCAGCCGCAGGGCGCGCCCGAAGGUGGCCUCGCCGGCACAGCCGACGGGAGGCGACGCGCCCGCGCCCCUAUGGUCGCCGGCGGCGACCUCCGGCGCGACGGAGCGGCGCCCGAGAGAGGGGAGGGAAGGGGGAAGCGAAAUGGCGGUCCUCGGCUCACCCCGGGUCGACGGCGACGACGGGAACGGCGACCGAAGCGGAGAGAGGCGGCGGCGCGGCUCGGGUCGACGAGGACGGCGGCGUUCUGGCGGUCGGCGGGCGAAACGAAGGGGUGGACGAAGUCGACGGGGACGCGGCGAAGCCGAAGGAGGCGAUGCCGAAGCGGGAGGAGGUCCGGGGCGACGACGGCGGCGAACCGAAGCUCAGCGGCGACGGCGGAGAGAGAGGACGACGGCGCGAGCUCGAUUCCGACGGGGAGAGAAAGCGGCAAGGGUCGGAAACGGAGGAGGGAGGCACGGGGAGUGCUUAAAUAGUGUUGGGAGUGAGAGAGGGCGGCCGGAGGGGAAGGAAACCGGCGCGGCGAUCUCGGCUCCAUCAAUGACGCCGGCGAAGUUUGCGGGAGGAUUUCCAAACGAAUCCGAGAGAGAGAGAGGGAAAAGUGGGGGGAAAGAGGGAGGGAAUCACGGGGAGUGAUUUCCCCCUCUUUAUUGCGCGCGCGGGCGGCGGGAUGCGGCGGAAUCCGCGGCGGCGGCGGCGCUAGGGCACGGGCGAGGCGGCGGGCGCGGCGCGAGGUAGGGGAUGACGGGUGGGCCCCACCCGUCAGCGAGGGUGGCGGGCGGGCCCGCCCGUCAGCGGCGCGCGCGCGGGGAGAGGCCGAGUGGGCCGCGGGGAGGAGAAGAGAGAGGGAGGGAGAUGGGCCGAGCCGGCCCAAGAGGGGGAAGGGGGGGAAAAAGACUUUUUAGAGCUUUUCUUUUUAUAAAACCAUUUUAACUUUGUUUAUUUCUUCUUAAUUAUUAUUUGUGCUCUGAAAAUUCCACUAAAAUUUGAGGGCUCCUUUUAGACCAAGGAGAAUUUAACAAAAAUUCUCCGGGCCACAUUUGAAUUUUUCUUGUACGUAUUUUAGUGUUUGCCAAUUUCUUUUCGAAUUUUAAUUAAUUCUAUUAUUCCUUUUGGCGAAUGAUUUUUAAUUUUGGGAUGAAUUUAUCAGGACGUGACAGCCGCUCUCUCUCUCCGCCGGAAUCGAGCUCGCGCCGUCGCUCUCUCUCUCCGCCGUCACCGCCGAGCUCCGGUCCGUCGCCGUCGUCGCCUCGGACCUUCUCCCGCCUCGGCGUCGCCUCCUUCGGCUCCGCCGCGUCCUCGCCGACCUCGUCCACCCCUCCGUUUCGCCCGCCGACCACCGGAACGCCGCCGUCCCCGUCGACCCGUGCCACGCCGCCGCCUUCUUCCGCUCCGGUCGCCGUUCCCGUCGUCGUCGUCGACCCGGGGUGAGCCGUGGACCGCCCAUUUCAUUUCCCCCUUCCCUCCCCUCUCUCGGCCGCCGCUCCGCCGUGCCUAUUGCCGCCACCGGCGACCAUAGGGGCGCGGGCGCGUCGCCUCCCGUCGGCUGUGCCUGCGAGGCCGCCUUCGGGCGCGCCCCGCGGCUGCCAUGUGGGGCCCGGCCGUCAGCCGCCCGCGCCCUCGGGUGCGGCUAACGCGUGGGACCCACGGCGCCGGCCGGCGUAAGCCGCGUGCACCCGGUCCACCGUGGACCGAGAGGCUGCCGCGUGGGCCCCACUCCCGUGGACCCGGUCCGCGCGCUCCUCUCUCCCGGCUGACGCAAUAAAUAUGUUUUUAAAUUAAAAAUUAAAUGAAGAAAUUUGUAAAUAUCCAUUUAAAGAGCAUAUAAACUUCAAAUGGCCAUUACUUGGCCAUUUGAACUCGGAAUUGGACCGUUCAAGUCUCUAAUUUUUCCUUAAGAAGCCAAGAACUCAUUUUUGUGCUUUGUUUCUGCUUGUUAUAUGGAGUUUAGUAGAGUAAAAGCCGUUUCUUUUCCGUUGGUCGUGUAGACGCUGCAGCUUCGGAAGAUCCGCUCUUCGUGGAGGUUGAAGCCGACGUUUGGGAAAGCGAGCAAGGCAAGUCACAUCAUCUUUGAACAUAUUGAAUCCCAGUUUGUAAAAUUAUGUUGAUUUAACUUAUUGCAUUAUCGCUUUAUUUAAAUUCCCUCAUUAUCACUGUUUUAUUUAGCCAUGCCUAUUUACCUUUGUUAUGACCUUAUUAUUAUUGUUAUUGUUAUUACUUUCUUGCUCACCCUAGAAUAAACAAAACCCCAACUAGUGGACACUCUACUCAUGGUAUCACUAGUAUGAUUUUAGGUAGAUGCUUCGCUUUUAAUUAUGUAACAUUAGGCGGUUUUACAACUCUAGACUUUGGGGAAUAUUCAUAUCACCUGGACACCAUGGAAUGGUUUGGUUAUUGUGGAAUUGGCUUCACACCGCUCCUUCUAUUCAAAAUCCCCAAAAAUGGUUUUAGGCUGGGCUCGGGGUGCAUGGUUUUGAUAGUAGCACCUCGGCCAUAUAAGGACCGGUCUUCGGGCCUCUGUUGCAAAGCACUACCGUACUUCCACAUGUCUAGUGGGUAAGGCUUAGUUUGUGGCUCAGUCUAGUUAUAAACAAAAGUACACGGAUGGAGAUGGAAGAAGUCGGGGGUCGAUGGACAUCUCUAGGACAAAUGAAAGCUACACGAGCUGCGGCCCGGUAGUCGAGAUGUCGUGGCACAGGGCAGGUGUCCUGCUGCUAGGGGCUCAGUCCUGCCUGCCUGUCCCGGGGGUUCCGGCCGUAGGUGGGAUUGGGUCGGUACUUUUGUCUAUGGCUAGGAUGGGUUGGAAACUAUGUCACGUCUUUCGUCUAUAUACUGUGGUGGUAUGUGGCACGUGGUUACACGUGAGGAAGAUGUGUCUUGUGGGUAAAGAUGUACACCUCUGAUCAGAGUAUAAUCUAUUCGAAUAGCCGCGCCCUCGGUUAUGGGCAAGCCGAGCAAUGUACCCAAGUUAGUGUUUUAAUUCUUAAAACCUGCCUAACAACUAAAAUGUGGAAUGGUUGGCCUGGGUUGGCUUGGGACGAGCUGGGACCCAGGGUCGGGUUGCCAGUUCGGUCUGAAUCAUCGUAGGCCUUGGGUUAAGGCAGGUUCGUGUGGGUUCACGGCCUUGAUAAAUAAUAUUGUAUAGUACUAGAAUCAUGUUUGCAAAAUAGCCCUGAGCAACUAAUGUCUUUAAAUGCUGUUUACUGCAACCCUAACCCUUUAUAGUAUAACUCCUUUGUACUCCCUUGCAUUUAUUCUGCACUUGUGGGUGUGUCUUGUUGAGUACGGUGGUUGUACUCAGUCUUGCUCAAUUUUUCCCAAACCCAGAAGAGGAGUUCCUGGAGGAUGAAGGCUUUGGUGUCUAGCUCGUGCCUGCCGUCAAGUGCCUGUGGUCGUCGCCCUAGUCUUCCGCUGUUUCUCGUUUGUCUUUGUGUGUGCUGGGCCUUCGCUGCCCAUGUAAUAAAUUAACUAUUUACGCUUCCGCUUGUUAAACUCUGAAUUGUAUCAACUUUUGGUGUACCUUGCCUCCUGGGACAAGGAUUAAUGCACGCACGUAAGGAACGCCCGUUGGGUUAUUUCCGGUCGUGACACAGGUGAUCAGCCAAGACCGACAUUCAUUAGCAAAAAUUUGUCUUCAGAGUUUAGAACCAAGCUGAUAGAGCUCCUAAAAGAGUUUAGAGAUUGCUUCGCUUGGGAAUAUUAUGAAAUGCCUGGACUCAGCCGAUCGAUCGUCGAACAUCGGCUACCUAUCAAACCGGGAGUUAGACCACGUCAGCAACCUCCGAGGAGAUGCAAAGCUGAUAUGCUUGAACCUGUUAAGGCUGAAAUUAAACGAUUGUAUGAUGCUGGUUUUAUUCAUCCCUACCGAUAUGCUGAAUGGGUUUCUAGCAUAGUUCCAGUUAUUAAAAAGAAUGGCAAGGUUAGGGUGUGCAUUGAUUUUCGAGAUUUGAAUAAAGCGACACCGAAGGACGAAUAUCCAAUGCCGGUAGCCGAUCAGCUGUUUGAUGCCGCGUCAGGGAACAAGAUUUUGAGUUUUAUGGAUAGGAACACAGGUUAUAACCAGAUCUUUAUGGCUGAGGAGGAUAUCCAUAAAACGGCUUUUAGGUGUCCUAGUGCCAUUGGCUUAUUUGAAUGGGUUGUCAUGACUUUCGACUUAAAGAGUGCUGGAGCAACAUAUCAAAGGGCCAUGAACUAUAUAUAUCAUGAUUUAAUCGGCUCGUUGGUCGAAGUUGAUAUUGACGAUGUGGUUGUUAAAUCCAAAGAAGUUGAUGAUCACAUAGCCGAUUUAAGAAAAGUUUUCGAGAGAACCAGGAAGUAUGGCUUGAAGAUGAAUCCGACAAAAUGUGCUUUUGGCGUAUCGGCUAGACAGUUUUUGGGAUUUCUUGUUCAUGAAAGAGGGAUUGAGGUAACCCAAAGGAGCGUUAAUGCAAUCCAGAAAAUUAAGCCCCCUGAAAAUAAGACUGAGCUACAAGAGAUGAUCGGCAAGAUAAAUUUUGUUAGGAGGUUUAUCUCUAAUUUAUCUGGAAGGUUGGAACCUUUUACACCUUUAUUGAGGUUAAAAGCCGAUCAACAAUUCACUUGGGGGGCAGAGCAACAAAAAGCUUUGGACAAUAUCAAGGAGUAUCUCAGUUCUCCUCCUGUUUUGAUUCCCCCACAGAAAGGAAUACCGUUUAGGUUGUAUUUAUCGGCUGGUGAGAAGUCAAACGGCUCAGUUCUGAUUCAAGAAUUGGAAGGGAAGGAGCGAGUUGUGUUUUAUAUUAGUCGACGGCUCUUGGAUGCUGAGACUCGGUAUUCCCCUAUGGAGAAGUUAUGCUUGUGCCUUUAUUUUUUGUGUACGAGGUUGAGGCAUUAUCUAUUAUCUAAUGAGUGCACUGUUAUAUGCAAAGCCGAUGUAGUCAGAUACAUGCUGUCGGCUCCAAUAUUAAAGGGACAAAUUGGAAAUUGGAUAUUUUCUUUGACUGAGUUUGAUCUUCGGUAUGAAUCACCGAAGGCGAUUAAGGGACAAGCUAUAGCCGAUUUUAUUGUGGAACAUCGUGAUGAUUCAAUCGGCUCAGUUGAAAUAGUGCCAUGGACUUUAUUCUUUGAUGGAUCGGUCUGCACUCAUGGUUGUGGCAUCGGCUUAGUUAUAAUUUCCCCUAGGGGGGCAUGUUUUGAGUUUGCUUAUACUAUUAAAUCAUAUGCGACUAAUAAUCAGGCUGAAUAUGAAGCAGUGCUUAAGGGGUUGCAAUUACUUAAGGAAGUUGAAGCCAAUAUUAUUGAAAUCAUGGGAGAUUCUUUGCUAGUAAUCAGCCAGUUGGCGGGCGAAUAUGAAUGCAAGAGUGAUACAUUUAUAGUUUAUAAUGAGAAGUGCCUGGAAUUAAUGAAAGAAUUUCGGCUGGUUACUUUGAAGCAUGUAUCUCGAGAACAAAAUCUUGAAGCUAAUGAUUUGGCUCAAGGGGCGUCGGGGUAUAAGCCGAUGAUCAAAGAUGUUAAGGUUGAAAUUGCGGCAAUGUCAGCCGAUGACUGGAGGUAUGAUGUGCAUCAGUAUUUGAGCAAUCCAUCUCAAUCGGCUUCCAGAAAAUUACGAUAUAAGGCAUUGAAGUAUACGUUGCUGGGUGAUGAGCUCUAUUAUCGGGUGAUUGAUGGGGUAUUACUUAAGUGCUUGAGUGCCGAUCAGGCUAAGGUUGCAAUCGGUGAAGUUCAUGAGGGGAUUUGUGGUACUCAUCAAUCGGCUCACAAGAUGAAGUGGUUGCUUCGACGUACAGGAUACUUUUGGCCGACGAUGUUGGAGGUUUAUUUCCGAUAUUAUAAGGGUUGUCAAGAUUGUCAGAAGUUUGGAGCAAUUCAACGCGCACCGGCGUCGGCUAUGAAUCCUAUAAUUAAACCAUGGCCAUUCAGAGGUUGGGAAAUUGAUAUGAUCGGCAUGAUAAACCCACCAUCAAGUAAAGGACAUAAAUUUAUAUUGGUGGCGACCGAUUAUUUCACCAAAUGGGUAGAGGCAAUUCCUUUGAAGAAAGUUGAUUCGGGGGAUGCUAUUCAGUUUGUUCAAGAGCAUAUAAUCUAUCAAUUUGGUCUUCCUCAAACUAUUACUAUGGAUCAGGGUUCAAUAUUCAUGUCCGAUUAGUUUGUUCAGUUUGCCGAUAGCGUGGGUAUCAAGUUGUUGAAUUCUUCACCUUAUUAUGCACAAGCUAAUGGGCAAGCCGAGGCAUCUAAUAAGAGUUUGAUUAAGUUGAUCAAGCGGAAGAUUUCCGAUUAUCCUCGGUAGUGGCACACUCGAUUGGCCGAAGCAUUAUGGUCUUAUAGGAUGGCUUGUCAUGGAUCGAUCCAAGUUCCCCCUUACAAACUUGUUUAUGGACAUGAGGCUAUUUUGCCAUGGGAAGUUAGAAUCGGCUCUCGACGAACGGAGUUGCAGAAUGAUUUGACAGCCGAUGAGUAUUACAAUCUUAAGGCCGAUGAGAGGGAGGAUUUGGUUCAGUCACGAUUGCGAGCCCUUGCGAAAGUUACUAAGGAUAAGGAACGUGUUUCUCGGCAUUAUAAUAAGAAAGUUGUGCCUAAGGAUUUUUCAGAGGGCGAACUUGUAUGGAAGUUGAUUUUGCCGAUUAGUACUCAUGAUAGUAAAUUCGGCAAGUGGUCGCCGAAUUGGGAAGGACCGUUCCAGAUUCAUAAAGUUGUUUCUAAGGGAGCAUAUAUGUUGCAAGGGCUUGAUGGAGAAGUUUAUGGACGAGCGCUUAAUGGUAAAUACUUGAAGAAAUAUUAUCCGAGUGUAUGGAUUAAUUCAUGAUCGGCUCCUAAUGUCGAUACAUGAUAGCCGAUGUGUUUACAUCGCCUUGCGAUGGCCGAUAUUGCUAUAUUGCCCUUAGUUGUUUUCUAACGUAAUCGGUGGAGGUUUGCCGAUUUACAAUGGCCGAUAUUGCUAUAUCGCCCUUAGUUGUUUUAUAGUUUUAUCAAUUCUAUUGACAUUGUAAAACUAGGGGGGGCAUAUAUCUGUUAAAAUGCAGUAAAUAUAGUGCAAAUUUUUUUGAGCAAAUCUCACAGUCAUAUUAAUCGGCACAGAAGGAUGUUAAGUGAUAAAGUAUCAGAAUGUUUAGCUGAUUACAAAAGUUCUAAGUCCUAUUACAUUAAGAUUACUGUGAUAAGUAUUGCUGGAUAGCCGAUAUAGCUUUCUGCCUAAUAUGCUCUACUUCCUCUAUGGCUUGAGCAUCUUGAGCAUCGGUUCCAGGAAUAACUUUUAAGGACUUGGUCAGUUCAGCAACAUGCUUAAUAGCCGAUUUAAGCCUGGCUUUCCGCUCUUCAAUGGACUUGGGGAGAUCGGCUAGCUUCUUGCGUUCUAUAUCCAGCUCGGCGUUGCAUUCUUCAAGUUGUGCUAAGAGAUCAAUCUUGCGAGCUUCAAGCCGAUCAAUGUUAGAUUUGAUUGGACCUUCAGAUAAUUGAUCAAGCUUGGAUUUUUCUUCAUGCACAAGUUGACGGUUGGCUUGGAUAGUGGCCUCAAUGUCCUUGCGUUCUCGUCUUUUGGCUAAUCUUAAUUUGGCUUUUUCCAGAUUGAAUUGGUGCUGCUCAAGAUAAACAGCUGGAGUAAGGAUGUCGGCUAACUCAUCUGGGAUUAAAGCUUGAAUUUCAUGUAAUCGAGCCCUGAUCUAGCCACAGUUAACUACUAAGCUGUCUAGCGAUGAUGCCUCUAGCCGAUCUGAAAUACUUUCUAGAGUCUUCUUUAGAUCAUCAGAUAGAGGGGCCAGUGCUUUGCUUGUAGUAUCUUCUUCUCCUUCGUCCAGAUAAUCUCUGAUAUCAAAAGAGAAAAGAUCGGCUAGGACCUGCGGUGAUAGUAUGAAAGCAGUUAGAGGUUAAACAAUUGUAGCCGAUUUGGAUGCUUAUUAGGAGAAACUUACUGGGAUAGCAGGAGCGGCUGGUUGUUCUUCUUCCUCAACAUGAUGACUUCCUACAGUUGAAGGGGUCUGGUCACUUGACGAUUGUUGAGCAGAAGGAGAAGGAGGAGGUGAAGGCUGAAAAGAAUGCAAGUGUUAAGUAGAAUCGGCUAAAAGUUGACCAUUGAAAGUUAAAAUGAUCUUACUGGUGGAGCUGGUUUAGAUGUUGUUGCAGCCGAUUUCUUUUUCACCGCUGUCUUCUUUUUCUGUAAUCGUAAGACUUGGGAAUGAUCAGCUAUAAGGCAAAAGAAUUAUGAAGAGAAUUAGUGGGGAGCACUUACCCUUGAGAAGUGGACUGGAGCAGACGCAGUUGGAAGGGUUUGCUUAGGCGAGGCCGAUGGUGUCUUUUCAUUAUCGCUCACUUCGGCUGCAGCCUGAUCGACUUCGUCUCCGAUUAUCUCUUCAUCUAAGGCUUGUUCAAUAGAUGGAUCCAAGUCGGGUAGAUCAUCGGCUGGCUUGUCAGUUGGUUUGGCUCUCUUGACCUUGGUCUUUUUCUUUGGAGCCAAGAUUGAGGUGCUCAUGGCUGAGGAUCUGGUUUUCCUUUUUUGGCCUGCAUCGGCUGGUUCUCUAGUGAGGCCGUGAAGGAGAGUUGAGGUCUUGGGGGCAUGGUAGCCGAUAACAGGGGGAGAUAGUCCACCUCCAUUUGGAAUUAAGCCUGCAGCAUAUUCAAUAUCUUUACCACUAUUACUUUGAUGAGGAGGAGAUGAUUCUGUUGUCUGCAAAGUAAGGAAAAGAAAUUGGUUAAGUAAUAAAUCGAGCAAUUGAUUAUGCAAUUCGAUAAUGACAAUGUUUACCUGGGGUAUGACGUCGGGGAAUAGAUCUGUCAUAUACAUCGUGGCCGAUUGGUGAAAUAGAUGUAGCUUCCACUCACCCCACCAUCUGUCAAAGUUCUUGCUUCUGAAACCGGCCAACUCAAUAUUCUCAAUGCUGCCCAGAGGAGGUCCCGGUAGAUUGAGCAGCCAAUCCAUCAUUAGAGCAGAUGUAAUUUGGCCUCGGCAUUGAAUCUUGUCGGCAAAGAAUAGGCCGAUCGGAAGUUGGCCCAAUCCGAGUUGCCUAGCUGAGCUCAUUGGAUGAUAAAAUUCAUAGGACACUUGGAUGUUUCUUCCUUGGUGAAUGCCGACGGGAAGGAUGCAAGGGCUGAUUGCGGCUAUAAGGACUUCUCUGGAUUUCUGGAAUUUCUCAUGAUUUAUGUCUUCGAAUCUGAAAUCUGAUGGAAGUUCGAGGUCUGUUGAAUCUUCAUAAGGGAACCAGAUCCGAGCAUCUUUCUUGAAGCCUUCAUAGAAGCUGUAGAACCAGUCCUUAAGCAGUUCAGCCGAUAGCUUUGCUCCAGCAUCGGUUGGUGUGGAUGCAUAUUCCCCAUAUGAUGUGCACCUGCGAUGAGUACGUUCUUCUCCAUCAUCACCAACAAUCGGCUCUGGCAGUGGGAACUCAGCUUCUGUCACAGGAGGCCGAUUGACAACUUUCAUAACCAUCAGAUUUAACCAGGUUUGCAGUAACCACCAGGGUCCACCUGCUCCAACUGCUGAGCCGACGGCGAUUCUAGCCGAUGCGUUGUUUAACAUCUGGUACAAAUAGCCGAGAAGAAUUUUUCCCAAGGGGAAUUCUUUCUUUGACUCCAGGGCUUCGGCUACGAACUGCCAGUUGGUUGUAGGGCCGCAACUGGAUCCACAGAAAAGGAACUUUUCUAGCCACAUGAGCAAAAAGGCUACAUGCUCUCGGGGGGUAACGGAUCCUUGACCCAUGUAUGCUGCUACAUAGCCGGACCAGCCACCUAUGCUCUUGGUCUUGAAAUCAAAUUGGUUCCGGGUGUUCAUGCUCAUGGGGUUGGCCGAUGAAGUUACAUCUAAUCCAGUGAUCAUAGUGAUAUCGAUUAGGGUUGGAGUCAUCGGCCCCUGAUUAAACAGGAAAGCAUUGAUGGUGUUUGACCAAAAAUAAGUGGCAGCAGCCAUCAGGGGUUCGUCUUUGGCAGAAUUGGCUAUGGUUAGGGCGAGUGCUUGGCUGAUUCCGAUCUCAUCCCAAUGAACUUUCUUGCUAGCCGAUACACGUUGAUACCAAGUGGACCAACUCCUGUCAGGUGAAAGUUUUUCGAGAGACGGCCAGGACUUGAAGGUGUUCUUCCAAUGACCUAGGUUGGGGUUGGCUAGCCUGAAAGGAAUCCGGUUGGUUUCACCAGUGAUAAAAUCGGUAGGGUCGAGAUUGCCGAUUGGGCCAAGGAAAUAGUGGUUUUGGUGUGAAAGACUUGGAAUUGCAACUUGGUGAGAAAGAUGCUAUGAAUCCAAAAGCAAUUGAAAAGAGAAAAGCAGCAUGAGACGAAAGAAAAUCAAUCUGUUGCUGAGAAAAGGGGAUUUAGCCGAUUAGAACUUACCUCGGCGUACUCAGCUAUUGGCGCACCCGAUGGGCUGGCGGAAGAAGACAUGGCCGCGGGCGGAGAUCUCAUCGAGAAGGGGAUUGCCUGGGAGUCACCUUUGCGUCGGUGAAAUCGCAGGAGAAGAAAGGGGAUUGAGUUUGCUUGAGCGGUGAAAACGGAAGUCACGGUGUGAGGUUUCUCGGGGGUGACGGUUAAUAUUUAAAGCAUGGCGGUAACGGUCGGAAAACGGUAAAGUGCGAAACUUGCUCGGAGUCGGCUUGCAGCAAAUCCGGAACAUUAUCGAAUAUCCCGGACUUAGGGGGCAUGUGUUAACAACCGAAUUUGGUAGCAUUUGGAUCAGGAAAGGGGAUUUGAUCAAAGAAGAGUUGGAGGCGGAGAUCGAGUUCUGGAACAGAGCAGGAAUCGGCUGGAGUCCGGAUCGGCUACGGCUAGGAUCGGCUGAGGUUGAGUUAAGCUAAAUUAGCUGAUAUAGCCAAUUCUGACAAUACAACUUGUGCGCGACGUCAGGCGCAGGUUGAUGUACUUCAAGAUGAUUGGCAUGCAUGGAUAGAGUCCUGGGAAGGCAAUUGUAUCUAUUAAUUAGGAUGUUUUAUGUAAAUUCCUUAUAGAUAAGUGUGGGCAAAAGUCUGCCGCAAAGACUUGUGAUAUUUUAGAGUUUGUUAGAGAUAAUGGUCGUGUCCGGUAUGGGCAUAUCUUGUAAUCCUCGGGUAUAAAUAGACCCCGAGCCCUAUGUAAUUUUAACACACACGUUCAAUACAAUUCCGGCGCAUCGCCAUCCUUUUGCUUUAAUUUUGUUUCGACGAGUUCUUGCUUUUGGGUUGAGCUGCAUCGGUUUUGAUCUUCAACAAGAGGUAAAAUUCGUUAUGACGGAUCGUGUUUUUAGGAUUAGUGCUUCCAUCUUCAUGACACUCUAAUCUUAUUUAUAUAAUUCGUCAAGUUAUCAUAUAUCUUACAUAAUCUUCAGCAAUAUCGUUAUCUAAUCUACUAUCGGCCAACAUCUGUAUGCAGAAGACAGCCGAUUAGGUUAGAUCUUGAUGUUGAUCCAGAUUAUAUAAGAUAUCUACCAUUCUAUGAAUCUUCUAACGGCUUGAUUGUCUAGAUAUUAUUCUUCUUUUCAUACUUAAUGCUGCAUCAAUUGAGUUUGAUCUAUUAAGUCGUGCUUAGAAUAUUGAUCUCUAGCCUGCCACCUAGUUGUCGAUUAGAAUAGCAUCGGAGUUUCAGCCGAUCGUAUCUGAUUUAACCACAAUAAUCCCUAUUUGCUUCGCUGUUAUGUUAAAUCUGCCCUUUAUAUCAAGACAUUGCUAUAUUCAAAUGUGGUAAACUAUUGUUCAAUAUACUAUUACUGCUUUAACAUCUUAAUAUAAAGUAGUAUCGGAGUAUUAGCCGAUACAUGCUAGACCUAUCUGAUCGGCUAUGCUAUAAACAUAUAUAAUCCUGUUAUGGAUGCAUAUUUCGAUCUAAGUGAUUUAUACUGUCUCGGCAUGAUGACCGAUCUAUCCUAAUCACCUGAUUUAAGUAAACAUCAACAUAAGGAUUAUAUGUCGUUAAUAUCUACAGCCGAUCAAGUAGAUUUAGUUUUUCCUUAGUCAUUCACGAUUGCCGAUCGAUACACAGAUGACAUCGGCUCGGAUAUAAAUGAUAUGUCAUCGGCAUCUGGCCGAUCGGCUAUCAUUUAUAAAUUUAACCACAGUUCCUUUGUCUUUAUUUCUUGUUGAUUGCUGGAUCAAAUCAGCUGGCACACUCACAUAUCUGAAUGCAAGUUUUGGACCUGCACUGGAGUUAAGCAGAUCUCCCAGGCCUCGUGUUUUCUGUCAACACCAAGCCACUCGGCAACUUGUGCAUGAGGAGAAAGUCAAGCUCGAUCAACUCUCUGUUGGGCCGAUUCAGUCAAACAUAGAUUGGCUUGAAGCCCGCAAGAUUGAUCUUAUAGCUCAACUCGAAGAAUGCAAUGCCGAGUUUGAUCUUGAAAAGCAAAAGCUAGCCGAUCUUCCAAGUGCUGUUGAAGAACAGAAGUCUAGGCUGAAAUCGGCCAUUAGAAAUGUUGCCGAUAUGACUAAAUCCUUAAAAGUCAUCCCUAGAACCGAUGCCCAAGAUGCCCAGGCAAUCGAAUGAGUAGAACAAAUCAGACAACGGGCUGUGUCGACUAUCCGGCGAUACUUAUCUCAGUGACUUUCCAUGUAAUAGGACUUAGGAAAAUUUUUGUAAUCGGCUAAGAAAUUCUGGUACUUCAUUUAUUGCUGAACUGAUGUGCCGAUUAAUAUAACUUCUCAUUUUGCCCAAAAAUUUGCAAAAAUUUGCAACUUUUGCAUGUAUAUGUGCCCCCCUAAUUUUGCAAUGAUAAAGGCAUUGAUAAAAUUAUAAUUUGGACUAAGGGCGAUAUAACCAUAUCGGCCAUUAUACAUCGGCAAAACACAACCGAUGACGAUAAUAAAACAACUAAGGGCGAUAUAACCAUAUCGGCCAUUGUACAUCGGCCAAACACAGCCGAUUACAAUAAUAAAAAUGACUAAGGACGAUAUAACCAUAUCGGCCAUCUCAAGGCGAUGUAAAUACAUUGGCUAUCAUGUAUCGGCAACACCAGCCGAUCAUGCAUUAACCCAAACACUUGGGUAAUAUUUCUUCAAGUAUUUGCCAUUGAGCGCUCGUCCAUAGACUUCUCCAUCAAGUCCUUGCAACAUAUAAGCCCCUUUGGAGGCAACCUUAUGAAUUUGAAACGGCCCUUCCCAAUUCAGUGACCACUUGCCGAACUUGUUAUCUCGAGUUCCUAUCGGCAAAAUCAAUUUCCACACAAGUUCACCUUUCGAAAAAGACUUGGUCACCACCUUUUUGUUGUAAUGUCGAGCAAUUCUCUCCUUAUCUUUGUUAACUUUUGCAAGGGCCCUCAAUCUUGAUUGAACCAAGUCCUCCCUCUCAUCGGCCAUGAUAUUGUAAUAUUCAUCGGCUGUAACCUCAUUUUGUAAGUCUAUCCUUCUUGAGCCAAUUCGAACUUCCCAUGGUAAAACAACCUAAUGUCCAUAAACAAGUUUAUAUGGAGGAACUUGAAUCGAACUGUCGCGACCGUGAAAAUUGCAUUUUCCCGAACGCUAGUGUAUUAAUCCCCGUCCCAGGAAAAGCCGGGGUACACCAUACAAACAUGAUAUAAAAGACACAUCUUUAUUAUAUCGAUAAUAUUUACAUUAUUACAAAGGCACUUAAGGCCUGACAAUCAAGAAUAAACAGCAGCGGACUAGCGGGCCUACGGCUCCAUCAUCACAGGCGCUUAACUGGAGUAUAAGCCAGGACUCCACCUAAGACUUCUUCUCCAAAGCUUCUCUUACUGAAUGGGGGAAAAGAUUGAGCAAGAAUGAGUACAACCACAGUACUCAGCAAGCCACACCAGCAGAUGCAUGAUUAAUGCAAGGGGGUACAAGGGGUAAUAAUAUAGGGGUUAAGUUUUGCAGUAAACAGCAUUUAAAAGUCACUUAGUUACCCAAAGCCAUUUUAUAAAGACGAUCCUAGAGCUACACAAAAUUAUUAAUCAAGGCCGUGAACCCUCACGAACCUGCCUUAACCCAAGGCCUACGAUGAUUCAGACCGAACUGGCAACCCGACCCUGGGUCCCAGCUCGUCCCAAGCCAACCCAGGCCAACCAUUCCACAUUUUAGUUGUUAAGCAAAUUUUAAGAUUUAAAACACUAACUUGGGUACAUUGCUUGGCUUGCCCAUAACCGAGGGCGCGGCUAUUCGAAUAGAUUAUACUCUGAUCAGAGGUGUACAUCUUUACCCACAAGACACAUCUUCCUCACGUGUAACCACGUGCCACAUACCACCAUGGUAUACGGACGGAAGACGUGACAUAGUUUCCAACCCAUCCUAGCCAUAGACAAGAGUACCGACCCAACCCCACCUACGGCCGGAACCUCCGGGACAGGUAGGCAGGAUUGAGCCCCUAGCAGCAGGACACCAGCCCUGUGCCAUGACAUCUCGACUACCGGGCCGCAGCUCGUGUAGCCUUCAUUUGUCCUAGAGAUGUCCAUCGACCCCCGACUUCGUCCAUCUCCAUCCGUGUACUUUUGUUUAUAACCAGACUGAGCCACAAACUAAGCCUUACCCACUAGACAUGUGGAAGUACGGUAGUGCUUUGCAACAGAGGCCCGAGCUUAAUCCUUAUAGUGGCCGGGGUGCUACUUCCCACAACUAGCAUGCACCCAAACCCCACCGAAAAACAGGUUUUAGGGGCUUUGAAAGAGGAAGAGAGGGGUAUGUCCAAUUCCACCAUAAUCCAACAAUUCCAUAAUGUCCAAAUGAUAUGAGAAUUCCCAAAGUCUAAAGUUAUAAAACCACCUAAUGUUGCCUAAUUAAUCAGCGAAGCAUCUACCUAAAUUCAUACUAGUGGAACCAUGAAUAGAGUACCCACUAGUUGGGGUUUUAUUUUCCUAGGGUGAACAAGAUAAUAAUAACAAUAGCAAUAAUAAGGUCAUAACAAAGGUAAAUAGGCAUGGCUAGAUAAAACAGUGAUAACGCGGGAAUUUAAAUAAAGCGAUAAUGCAAUAAUUUAAAUCAAAAUAAUUUUAUAAACUAGGAUUCAAUAUGUUCAAGGAUGAUGUGACUUGCCUUGCUCAGAGAGAACGGCCUUCCGAACCUUCGGCGACGACCACGAACCACGCUUCGGGAACCUCCGGAACGACGAAAGCUACGCGAAGCACACAAGCAAAGCUACAAGCCUAUAAAGAAGCAAUAACAACACAUAAAAAGAAAGCACACAGUUCUUUAGGUUAUAACAAACAUUAGGAGACUUGAACGGGUCGAUUCAGAGUUCGUAUGACCAAAAUAUGAUCAUCCGAAGUUUAAUGCUGUUAUAUGGAGAUUUGCGGAUUAUUAUAAUUAAGCUUUGCAAUUAUAAAACAUGUGUAAGUGCUAGCCUAGAAAAGACAGGAGGGCUGCGCCGUUGACAUACGGACCCCACAUGUCAACCUAAAGGACCGCGGUAGACCGAGUACACAGAGACGGUCCACGGGUCGACGGAAGCAGAUCCCGUGUGUCAACCGAGGCGAGUGGCCGACAAACGGACUCCACUAGACACCACACGGGCUGCACACGUAGAAACCACGCGGCUACCGAGCGGGCACACUAACACGGUCACCACACGCACAAGCGAACGACUACCGACACCGGUACACGGGUACCGGGGUCGACAACCGCACAACGAGCACGGGCGACACCGAAAGGACGAAGACGGGGCAGCGAGGGAGAGGGAUCCUUACCACCACGCGACGAGGCGUGGGAACGACAACGACGACCGGGCGCGGCGGAGGCGGCCGGGAACGACGGAGACGAACGGCGAGGGGACGACUUCGGCGGCGAUCCUUGGACGAAGGCGAGACGCGGCCGGCACGAGGCUUGACGACGCGGAGGCGUGGACGAAGACGAUGACGGGGGCUGCAGCGACCUUGACGAAACACCGAGGACGGACGAGAACGGCUCGACGGAGGGACGAACGCCCCGACGACCGGGAACGACGAGAGGACGACGAUGACGACCGGGGCCGGCGAGGAGACGACGAGGGCAGCCGGCAGUGGCUGCACGGAGGCGAGGAUGCCGUGGAACGCGCCGCUGCGAUGCCGACGACGGAGGCGGCGCCGCGAGACGACGAGCCGGCGAGGAUGAACGGUGAAGACGACGUCGGACACCGGCGGUGUUCGGCCGAAGGGGAAGCGAUGCCGAGGGGUGGACGAGGUGGAGGGCUACGUCACCGUGCCGAGGGAGGGGACGGCAGCACCGACUGACGCACGGGCAUGGCGAAAGGGGCUGCCGGAGGAGAUGCCGACGAGGAGGAAGGAGAGGCCGGCGCGGGCGACGGCGUUCCGGCGAAAUUCGGGCGAGGAGGAGGUGAUGCCGGGGAAGGAGGCGAUGCCGCGGUGUCGAAGGAGGAGACGGCGGCGUCGAUCGGCGCACCGGCGACGAACAGCAGCCGGCUGGAGGGAGUACAGUGGCACCAAUGCCACUGGUUGCCGGCGGGGGCACCGUUCCGGCGAGUUUCCGGCGAGGAGACGGUGAGGCCGGUGAAGGGGACGGUGUUGCAGAGCCGAGGGAGGCGACGGCACGGCCGGACGGCGCGCGGGCGAGGCGGGAGAGGCGGCUGGAGGCGGCCGGCGGCACGGGAGAGAGAAGAGGAUGGCGGGGAGAUGGCUAGGGACCACGGGAGACCGCGGGAGGGGGCUAAAACGAUAAAACGGAGCGAGGGGAUUCUGUUUUAUAGGCGCUGGGAGGGAGCCGGCCACGGGAGGAGCGAGGAACGGCGGCGGAAAACUCGGCCGGCGGCCAUGGGAGGCUGCCGAGGAAGGCGCGGGCAUUCCCGACGAUUGGGGGCGUCAUUCAAGGGGGAAUUAAGGGGGAAAGAGAGUGAGGAGGGAAAGGGGAUUAAUUCCCCCUAAUCAAUUUGGAAAGAGCCGGCUUGAAUCGUGUGGAUUUAAGGGAGGAAUCGACGCUAGGUUUCACGGGAGAGAAGAGAGAGAGAGGAUGCCGGGCGGGAGGAAGGAGACGAUCGGGCGGGUGGGACCCACCGGUCAGGCGGCGUCGUCAGCGCGCGCACGCGCGCGGCACGGGCGGGAGGGCGCCGUUCGGCUUGGGCCGGGCGGCGGCCCAGGUGGGAGGGGGCAGGGAGGCUUGGGCCGAGAGGCGGCCCAGGAGGAGAGGAGGGCGAGGAGGCCCGGGAGAGAGAUGGGAGGGGAGGGAGCUGGGCCGGGAGGGGGAGGGAAGGCCCAAGAGAGAAGGAGAGGGAGAGGAAUAGAGGGAGGAAGAGAGGACUUCGGCCGCGGACCGAGAGAGAGAGAGGGAGGACUUUGGGCCAAAAUUGGCCCAAAAGAAAAGGAGGAUUAUUUUUAGGUCUUCUUUUUAAUAAACUUUGAUAAUUGUUUUUGUUGCUUAAUAAUUAUUUCCGGUGCUCUGAAAAUUCAAGUAAAAUUUGAGGGCUCCUUUUAGACCAAGGAGAAUUUAACAAAAAUUCUCCGGGCCACAUUCGAAUUUUUUUUUCUUGUACGUAUUUUAGUGUUUGCCAAUUUCUUUUCGAAUUUUAAUUAAUUCUAUUAUUCCUUUUAGCGAAUGAUUUUUAAUUCGGGAUGAAUUUAUCAGGACGUGACACGAACCAUGACAAGCCAUCCGAUAGGACCAUAAUGCUUCGGCCAAUCUAGUAUGCCAUUGCCGAGGAUAUUCGGAAAUCUUCCUCUUAAUCAGUUUAAUCGAACACUUGUUAGAUGCCUCGGCUUGCCCAUUAGCUUGUGCAUAAUAAGGCGAAAAAUUCAACAAUUUAAUACCCCUAUCGGCAAACUGAACAAACUCAUCAGACACAAAAAUCGAGCCUUGAUCAGUUGUAAUGGUCUAAGGAAUACCAAAUCGAUAAAUAAUAUGCUCUUUCUUUGAAGGAAUCGCCUCUACCCACUUGGUAAAGUAAUCGGUUGCCACCAAUAUAAACUUGUGUCCUUUGCUCGAUGGUGGAUUAAUCAUACCGAUCAUAUCAAUUCCCCAACCUCUAAAUGGCGAUGGCUUGAUGAUAGGAUUCAUAGCCGAUGCUGGCGCUCUUUGAAUUGAUCCAAACUUUUGAUAAUCUUGACAUCCUUUAUAAUAUUUGAAACAAUCUUCUAACAUGAUAUGGGGUUGAGUUGGUUAGUGCCUUGAAGAUAAGAAUGAUUUGUUCAAGAGAUCAUGAGUUCAAGGAUUGGCAAAAACAAGGGAAAAUAUUUUAUUCUCCUUUUCACAUUGGUUUUAUAUGGUUGUGGUACAAUUUAAUGUCUCUAGAAAAUGCCUCUACCACCUUAUAAACAUUUUAUAAAAUGCCUCUUCGUUUGUAGAGACAAUUCACCAUAAGGCACUAAUUAGACAUUUUUUAAAAUGCCUCUACAGUAUUGUAAAGGCAUUAGAAAAGUGUCUCUAUAGUACUAGAAAAAUGUCUCUACAAAGCAUUUUUCUUGUAGUGCUUGUCUCUGCAUCCAAAAGCCGACAGCUCAGGUAAAACACAACUCUCUCUUUUCCUUCAAGUGCCUGAAUCAAAACCGAGCCGAUUGACUUCUCACCAGCCGACAAAUAUAAUCUAAAAGGUAUCCCUUUUUGCGGAGGGAUCAAAACUGGAGGAGAACUAAGAUAUUCUUUAAUACUAUCCAAAGCCUUCUGCUGCUCUGCCCUCCAAGUAAAUUUUUGAUCGGCUUUCAAUCUCAACAAUGGUGUAAAAGGUUCUAAUCUACCAGACAAAUUAGAGAUAAACCUUCUAACAAAAUUUAUUUUGCCGAUCAUCUCCUGCAAUUCUAUCUUGUUCUCCGGAGGUUGAAUCUUCUUGAUCGCAUUAACACUCCUCUGAGUUAUCUCAAAUCCCCUUUCAUGAACAAGAAAUCCUAAAAACUAACCAGCCGAUACACCAAAAGCACACUUUGUUGGAUUCAUCUUUAGGCCAUACUUCCUAGUUCACUCAAAAACCUUCCUCAAAUCGGCUAUGUGGUCUUCUAUUUCCUUUGACUUAACAACCACAUCAUCAAUAUAAACUUCAACCAAGCAGCCGAUUAGAACAUGGUAUAUAUAGUUCAUAGCCCGUUGAUAUGUAGCUCCAGCACUUUUCAAGCCAAAAGUCAUCACGACCCACUCAAACAAGCCGAUUGCACCAGGACAUCUAAAAGUUGUCUUAUGAAUGUCCUCCUCUUCCAUAAAGAUCUGAUUGUAACCAUCGUUACCAUCCAUAAAACUCAAUAUCUUAUGUCCUGAGGCAGCAUCGACCAACUGAUCGGCAACCGGCAUUGGGUGCUCAUCCUUUGGAGUAGCCUUGUUUAGGUCUUGGAAAUCAAUACACACCCUGACUUUGCCAUUUUUCUUAAUAACUGGAACUAUGUUGGAAACCAACUCAGCAUAUCGGCAUGGACGAAUAAAACUAGCAUCAUAUAAACAUUUAACCUUAGCCUUGACAGGUUUGAGCAUAUCGGCUUUCGCAUCUCCUCGGCGGCUGAUGGUAUGGUCUAACCCCCGGCUUGAUAGGGAGCCGAUGUUCAACAAUCGAUCGACUGAGUCCUGGCAUCUCGUAAUGUUCCCAAGCAAAGCAAUCUCUGUAUUCUUUCAAGAGCUCUAUCAACUUGAUUCUGAAUUCCAGAGAUAAAUUCCUACUAAUAAAUGUUGGCCUUGGCCUAUCACAUGGACCUAUAUCAACUUCUUCCAAAUCAUCAGCCAACAUGAAACCCUGUCCUUGCUUGUCAUCGAGAUCGUCUACUGUGUCCUUUGUGUAGACGUUUGAACCCUCCACGAUGCCCUCAAAGUAAUAAUUUGGGUUCUCCGUCUUCAAUUGGUUGUAUAUCACAAUCGGACACUUUUAGAAUAUCUCUAUCCCAAACUUUUCCUGACAAGCAAUCAAUACCGUCCAUCUCCCAAAGAGCUAAAUCGACACUGGCAACGUUAACUGACCUGUCGGCUGGCACAAUUUCAAUCUUGUCGCCUUGCCAUUGAAUCAAGCAUUGAUGCAUGGUCGAAGGAAUACAACAAUUGGCAUGAAUCCAAUCCCUUCCAAGCAACAAACUAUAGGAACCCUUCCCAUCGAUGACAAAAAAUGUUGUAGGGACGGUCUUGCCGCUGACUGUCAGCUCCACAUUCAAAACUCCUUUUUUUCCCGAUGGAUUGCCACCAAAAUCUUUGAGAACCAUGUUUGUCUUGAUGAGAUCUUCAGUAUUUCUGCCCAGCUUCCUGAAUGUAACAUAUGGCAUCAAAUUCACCGCAGCCCCACCAUCAACCAUCAUCUUGGUCAUCAGCUUCCCAUUGACAUAGCUGUUUAUAUACAAUAGGUUAAGGAGCCAAUUCUCUGUCCCUUCUGGCUUCUCAAAGAUUGCUUGCUCUGGUGACAAAACCAACCUAGCCGAAGCUUCCUCAACUUCAUCAACAUCGGCUUGUUUAGCUCCAAAAUCCGCAGGUAACGUGAAAACCAUGUUAACCGACGCAGUCACGACACUCUUCCCUUUAGCCAAUCUUUUUGCUUCAUCGGCUUUGACUUCAUCGGCUAUAGCAGCUUGGUUCUUAACACGCCACUCUUGCCUCGGCCGAUGAUUAAUCUCCUGCUCCACCUCAUCAAAACGUUCUCUGUUCCAUAACCUUUGAACCCUUCUCUUCUGAUUUUUCGUGAAAAUACCAGAAGGACACCAUUGAGUCUUUCUAUCCUCAUCAUCUCUUUGAUCACACUCUUGGUUUACUUGGCCCAAUCUUUGAUGAACAGGAACUCUUGUUUGCCUCAGCUGAUUACUUCUGUUGUAAGAUCUGCUUGAACUUUCUGCAACAUUACUGCAUCCAGGACGAUCUUCGAUACAUGGCAGCCUCAUUCCUUCAUUCCAGCAAAAUCUGAAAAACUCACAUUCCCAAUGAGGAUCAAAACCACCAUCAUCUUCUUCAUAAUACCUUUCCUGCUGUUGCUUGUCAUAUUUUCUUCGGUACUUGCUGAUAAUUCUAGCCGAAUUCAUCUGAAAAUUCCUAUUCUUCCCUCCAUCGUCUGCCCUUCCAGACGUAUGCACCAUAUUGACAGGGAAAGGGUUACCAUCGACCUUCAUCGGCUUCUUGGAGUCGUCAAACUUUAUUUCUCCUCCUUCAAUAGCCGCCUGAAUCCGCUGUCUAAAAACUUUGCAAUCAUUAGUACAAUGAGAACCAGAAUUAUGCCACUUGCAAUACCUCCUCUUUCCUAGCUCUUCAGCCGAUGGUAUGAUAUGACCAGCAGGAAGUUGAAUCUGCUUCUCCCGAAGUAACAAAUCGAAAAUCUUGUCAGCUUUGGUGAUAUCAAAAUCAAAUCUUUCUUCUUUUCCAGAACUCCUCACCCAUGGGCAUGGCACAACCUUUUUGCUCCUAACCCACUCGGCUGCUACUACCUCGGAAUCAUCUUCAUCAUCAGAAUCAUAUAUAUAAGGAUACACAUGAUUGAUCUUCUUGAAGCUCUUCUUAGCCUCUGCAAACCUCUGUUCAUGCAGAGUUACCUUCUGUGCAAGAUGCGAUAAACUAUCAAACUCCUGGGUGAGAAUUUCUCCUUGAUUGGAGCUAUUAGACCUGAAAAACCAAAUCGGCUAACUGGGAAUCAGUCAAACUCAAACUGUAGCACCUAUUCCUCAUCUCUCUGAAUCUCUGAAUAUAAUCCUGCACAGAUUCAUCAUGCCUUUGUCUAAUUGCUGUUAAAUCAUACAAUUUCAUCUCGUGGACUCCACUAUAGAAAUAGCUAUGAAAUUGUUUCUCCAAAUUGGCCCAACUGUUGAUUGAAUUGUAUGGUAAAGAAGAAAACCAAGUAAAUGCCGAUCCGGAUAAAGACAAAGGAAACAACCUGACCCUCAAGGCGUCAACAGCCGAUGCCUCACCACAUUGAGCUAAGAAUCGGCUGACAUGUUCAUAGGUCGAGACAUUGUCUUGUCCUGAGAAUUUUGAAAAAUCUGGAACUUUGUAUCGGUUAGGCAAUUGAACCCUCUCGAACUACUCAGGAUAUGGAUGCCGAUAUAAGUUUCCAGUAUCCUUUGGCUUAAGCCCAAAUUGCUCUAUCAUCACAUCUGCAAUCAUAUCAGCCCAUGGUCUCUGCUGAGGUACCCCUUGCGCUUGUUGUGGUAUAGGCUCGAAUUUAUUGAACUGAGGAGCAAACUGAGGCUGAGGUGAUCCCUUUGCUGAUACUGAACAUGAGGCGAUGGAGGCUGAUAUUGGUAAUUCAAAUUCCCCCCUUGAUAAUUCUGAAAGUUCGGUUGUAUGUUGCGCACCAAAUGUUCGGGAAUAACUUGAGGUAUCACCGAUUCAUUCUCCCCUUCGCUUGCUUGUGACACUUUCGACAUCAAUAUAAGGUAUAUUAGUUAAUUAAAUGGAUAUACACAUGCAUUUAUAAAAAUUAAGUAGCUGUAUGUCGUCCAAAAUUAUAGGUGCUAUAAUCAAAUUACCUAGUAGUUGUGCACUUAUAGACACCAAAUGGCGAUCAAAUUGGUGUCGGGUCUCUGCCGAUGGUCGAGGGCAUGCAUAUCCAUAAAACUAACUUGUAGCAGACAUGGCCCACUCAUGAAAACCUCUACCAACACGGCAACUAUCACAGAUGAAAGACCUUUUAUUAUACUUGCUUUUAUGUACCAUUCAUGCCACCUUUUUAAUUGGCAAGGUCCUUCUGCUAAUUCCCAGGUGGGGAGGAAUGCUUUGCCAUUCUCAAAUUGUUCAGGCACAUCAACAGUGGGCAUAAAAUUCAAAGUUUUAUUCAAGCUUAUUUUUGGGCCUUUUGCUUUCUUUUUGUCAUAAUCAGUCAUUGCUUUCCCCUGUUAUUACUAAUCCUUCGUGGGAAUGCCUUUAUCAUAAACUCUUUCUUGGACGCACUUUCUUCAUUGUGCUUGUGUGCUCUUAUCAUUACUGGCACUCCGUCACCCUUAGCUUCUUCCUGUGAUAUUACUUGUUCCGAUUGUACCAUGCUAGGCGCCACAGGCUCUUGUAUGACCUCUGCAUCCCUUUCAAGCUCUGUUGUUCAGGCAUUGGUUAUUCAGGCUCUAGUUGUGUUAACAGUGAAAUUUGGUAAGCCCGUAAGAGAAUUAUCACGUCGCCAACAGUCGGAUUUCUGCUGUAUUCGGUCGAGGAAAUUAAUCUGUUAAAGGAAGCUUAUGCAGGAGUGACCGAGUUCAAGGAGGAUGCGACAUGACAGUUUAUCCAUUAAUUAGGCAGUAUUUGUUAGUUUCCUUUUAUCUUUAGAAAAGUGUGUUUAGUGUCAUAUAAGGACUUUAUGUUUUCCUUUUAUCUUUUAGGAAAGUUUCUUUCUUGUCCUACAAGGACUAGUAUCUCCCCAUGGAUAUAAACAUGUACACCCGGGGUCCAUGUAAAAUAUCUCACGAUCAAUACAAUUUGGCGUAUUGCCACACCUUUCUACUUUUCUACUUUAUUUACCAUCAGGUGGAACUUGGCACCCGACGCGGGGCUGCAUCGGUUUUCGAUCUCUGGCGAAGGGGUAAGUUCAAUGUUUCGCUGGCCCAGGCAAUUGUCUCGUCUACAUCGGCGUCGUUCAAGGCUGCAUCAAUUUAGCUUUAUCGGUUGUUAAUUACAUCAAGUAUCAGAAUCUACAUCAGAAUUAUAGCCGAUAGCUCAAAACCCUAUCUAUCGGCUCGUAUCGACAUCGACUGAAAUUAAUCUAUCAGCUGUUUUAUCUGCUGUUUGUAUAUCUUGUGAGUUGCAGGGUCAAACUGACUGGCACACCCGUAUCUCAUCAACCUUUGGACCUGCACUGGAGCUAAGCAGAUCUCUCAGUCCAGUGUGUGUUUUCCGCGUCAACACAUUUAUGGCACGCCAGUUGGGACACGAGUUUUUGCAUGGAGUAUUGUUGAUGGUCAUUAACGAUCAGUUUCGACCAUCAAUAUUACCAAAAUAGAGGAGAACUAGUGAUGCUUGCAAUGAAUAUACAUGUUAGAAUAAUAAUAUUCCACUAGUAUUAGGUAUACUAACCUUUUGCAGAGAAUAACCAUAAAGUGGAGGAGAAUCGACAUCAACACAGAUGAUAAAUAAAUCGGACGAUGUCGAGAAUCAGACUUAUGCAUGAAUGGGCCAAGAACUCAGAAUUGACAUGAUGAAUUGGGCCAAAAUUCACAAGUCUACGAAGUGAAGCAACGGAGGAGGCCACCAGCCAAAACUUGGGCUGGUUGGCCCGGCCCCUGGUUCGGGGUUCGGCCGAACCUCCCUCGCCGCCAUUAGCUGCAGGGCUUCUUCUGGACGGUUGGGAUUGAUCCCCAAUGACGGUUGGAGGGUAUUACCGACCAUUCCAACUGUCACAACCAUCAUUACCUGCCUAUAAAAGGAGUUCCUCACUUCACUUCACAAACACACCUCAAUCAAGAGCUCUCUUAUAUUAUCUCAAGUUAGUUUAGUGUUAUCUAGCUAGUGGAAUAAUAGGAAUAGAGUAGAAAUCGGGAGUCUGGAAGCCUUCGGAAGAGUUUGGGUAUGGCUCUAGUAGCUUUCCUUUCCUCUUUUGUUAGCUUUGUACUUUUAUUAGAAUACUCUUCUUUAUACAUUUAUGGUAUUGAAAUACUUUCCGAGUAUAUGAAUGCCUACUUUACAUUAUGUUCAUGUUAUACUGAAUAUGCUACUAGCUUAUCUGGGAGACGCUUUGGUGGGGGUAUAAUGUUUGCUUAUGCAAUUACUCUAUGUCAUGACGAUAAUAUUAGAGUAGUAUCUGGUAGUUUAGACGUGGUGUCUAAUUAUGGGAUAUCGUUAUUUGGGGUUAUAUGCUGCGGAUGAGAGGUGGGCCACUAAUGGUGACAGCUCAGUACGGGUAUUUGUUGACGGUCGUUAUCGAUCAGUCUCGACCAUCAAUAUUACCAAAAUAGAGCAGAACUAGCGAUGCUUGCAAUGCAUAUAUGUAACAUACUGAAAAUUUGCUAUUUUCUAAUUAUGCAUCAUGCCGAUUCUUAUGUUCUUAAUAACUUCCUAAACCUAAGAAAUUAUAAUUAGAGGGACCUCCUAAAACUAACAUGUAUAAAAUCCCUUUUUGGUAUUUAAAAUCUUUCGUGGUUUUUAUUCUAAAAAUUGAUCUUGUUAGAUCGAGGUAUUCUCUUUGAUUUGAUUUUGCAUCUUAAACCUUCUUUCGACCAAAAUUUCUUUUAUUCAAAUUUAGUUUGAAAACCCUUUCUAUUUUUAAGAAUUAUGGUCCAAGAAAUUCUUCCAAACCUAAACCAAAGCAAUUCCAAUUUCAUUGGAAUUAAUUGUCGACCCAUCCUUUGAUUUCAAACCUAUUCUUAUUUAUCGCCAAAUAUCCAAGUUUCCCAUUAGCCUCAAAUACUUCUCCAAAUUCUUGCCAAAUAAUUUGAGGCUAACAUCCUAUUUAUUUCCCUUCCCUCUCAAUCGAGUGCAUCAAAUAAAUUCCGUUAUAUUCUAUCUCUCAAAAGAUUGCACUCAAAUAAAUUAGAACAUCCUUAUUUUAAAAUCCCUCUCCGAAUUCAAAUCCUUUUUAAAAUCUAGCCAUCCAAAUUCCUCUAAAUCAAUUAUUUGAAUCUCUAGGAAAAUUAGACUUUCUUUGUUUCUAGACUGGGCCGAAACCCUUUGUCACGUCCCAAAACGACUCUAAAAUACAUCCUCGAAAUUAUGCAAAGAAUAAUUAAAAUCCAUGUGAAAGCCUCCAACAAUUAAAAUGUGCAAAUUUAAAAGUCAAAUAAGGCUUGGAGGAUUUUUGUAUAUUUCCUAAAAGCCUAAAAUGCGUAAAUAAAUUUUAGUGGAAUUUUCAGAGCACAAAUAAUAAUUAAGAAGAAAUAAACAAAGUUAAAGUGGUUUUAUAAAAAGAAAAAAACCCUAAAAGUCCUUUCCCCCCCCCCUUCCCCUCUUGGGCCGGCUCGGCCCAGCCCUCUCCCUCUCUCUCCUCUCCCCCGCGGCCCAUCGGCCUCCUCCCCGCGCGCGCGCCGCUGACGGGCGGGCCCGCCCGCCACCCUCGCUGACGGGUGGGGCCCACCCGUCAUCCCCUACCUCACGCCGCACCCGCCGCCUCGCCCGUGCCCUAGCGCCGCCGCCGCCGCGGAUUCCGCCGCAUCCCGCCGUCCCCGCGCGCAAUAAAGAGGGGGAAAUCACUCCCCGUGAUUCCCUCCCUCUUUCCGCCCACUUUUCUCUCUCUCUCUCCCUCGGAUUCGUUUGGAAACCCUCCCGCAAACCUCGCCGGCGCCAUUGAUGGAGCCCGAGAUCGCCGCACCGGUUUCCUUCCCCUCCGGCCGCCCUCUCUCACUCCCAACCCUAUUUAAACGUUCCCCGUGCCUCCCUCCACCGUUUCCGCCACUCGCCGCUCUCUCUCCCCGUCGGAAUCGAGCUCGCGCCGUCGUUCCCUCUCUCCGCCAUCGCCGCCGAGCUCCGGUCCGCCGCCGUCGUCGCCUCGGACCUCCUCCCGCUUCGGCGUCGCCUCCUUCGGCUUCGCCGCGUCCUCGUCGACCUCGUCCACUCCUCCGUUUCGCCCGCCGACCGCCGGAACGCCGCCGUCCUCGUCGACCCGAGCCGCGCCGCCGCCUCUCUCCGCUUCGGUCGCCGUUCCCGUCGUCGCCGUCGACCCGGGGUGAGCCAUGGACCGCCCAUUUCGUUUCCCCCUUCCGUCCGCUCUCUCGGGCGCCGCUCCGCCGCGCCGGUGGCCGCCGCCGGCGACCAUCGGGGUGCGGGCGCGCCGCCUCCCCGUCGGCCGUGCCGGCGAGGCCGCCUUCGGGCGCGCCCCGCGGCUGCCAUGUGGGGCCCGGCCGUCAGCCGCCCGCGCCCUCGGGUGCGGCUGACGCGUGGGACCCACGGCGCCGGCCGGCGUAAGCCGCGUGCACCCGGUCCACCGUGGACCGUGAGGCUGCCGCGUGGGCCCCACUCCCGUGGACCCGGUCCACGCGUCCCUCCCCUCGGCUGACGCAAUAAACCCGAUUUUAAAUUAAAAAUUUAAAUGAAGAAAUUCGUAAAUAUCCAUUUAAAGAGCAUAUAAACUUCAAAUGGCCAUAACUUGGCCAUUUGAACUCGGAAUUGGACCGUUCAAGUCUCUAAUUUUUCCUUAAGAAGUCAAGAACCCAUUUUUGUGCUUUGUUUCUGCUUGUUAUAUGGAGUUUAGUAGAGUAAAACCUAUUCGAAUAGCCGCGCCCUCGGUUAUGGGCAAGCCGAGCAAUGUACCCAAGUUAGUGUUUUAAUUCGUAAAACCUGCUUAACAACUGAAAUGUGGAAUGGUUGGCCUGGGUUGGCUUGGGACGAGCUGGGACCCAGGGUCGGGUUGCCAGUUCGGUCUGAAUCAUCGUAGGCCUUGGGUUAAGGCAGGUUCGUGUGGGUUCACGGCCUUGAUAAAUAAUAUUGUUUAGUUUUAGAAUCGCGUUUACAAAAUGGCUUUGAGCAACUAAAUGUCUUUAAAUGCUGUUUACUGCAACCUUAACCCUUUAUAGUGUAACUCCUUUGUACUCCCUUGCAUUUAUUCUGCACUUGUGGGUGUGUCUUGUUGAGUACGGUGGUUGUACUCAGUCUUGCUCAAUUUUUCCCAAACCCAGAAGAGGAGUUCCUGGAGGAUGAAGGCUUUGGUGUCUAGCUCGUACCUGCCGUCAAGUGCCUGUGGUCGUCGCCCUAGUCUUCCGCUGUUUCUCGUUUGUCUCUGUGUGUGCUGGGCCUUCGCUGCCCAUGUAAUAAAUUAACUAUUUACGCUUCCGCUUGUUAAACUCUGAAUUGUAUCAACUUUUGGUGUACCUUGCCUCCUGGGACAAGGAUUAAUGCACGCACGUAAGGAACGCCCGUUGGGUUAUUUCCGGUCGUGACACCCUUUCCCUCCUCCAGCCCAAGCCGGCCCAGCCACCACAGCCGAGCCGCCCUUCCUCCUUCUGUAGACGCGCACACGCACACGCCGUCGCCGCUUCCUUGCCGUCGCCGCCAAGUCGCGCCGCCACCGUCACCGUGCCUUACCCUCCAACUCCGCCGUUUUUCCUUCGCCGCUAAGCAACUGCCGCCGACGUCAGCCGCCACAUCACGCCGCUGACAUCAGCCGCCGAGCCGAACCGCCUUCGAUGGCCAAUUAGCAGAUAGAGUCGACGCCGUGCUCCUGUUUCUGUGCCGCCGCCGCCGUGAUUUGCUCGCCCUCCUCCUCUGCAAACCGCCAUGAACCACCGCCCCUCGUCGCCUAUAAAUAGCCGGCGAGCUCAUCCCAUCUCUUCCGCAUCCGAGCUCGAGGUCCCCUCUUUCUCUCUCCACCAUGGCCGGCUAAUACCAAGUCCCCGGUCGAUCUCUUCCAUUGGAGCCCCAUCGGCCGAAUCCUUGCGCCAUGAGCUUCGCCUCGACGAGGUGAUUCCAUUUCUCCCCUUUCCCCUCUCCUUUAGCCACCGCCACAACUCAUCACCACCACCACACAAACCGGCCGGGACCAAGGUUUUGUCCACGCCGUUCUGGCCAUCUCCCUCUUUCCCUCGGCUAGCUACCACCUUCCCCGGGUGCGCGUCGCUCGGGAACACGCUUGGCCACCGCCGUCGAGACCGUUCCAUCACUGGAGCACCGGCGCCCCUUCUCUCUCUCUCUCUCUCUCUGCUGUUCACGGGAAGAAGAGAAGGAAGAAGCAGACGAGAGGAAGAAGAAGGAGAAAAGAAAAAGAAAAAGAUAAAGAGGUACUGACAGUAGAGUUUAUUAUAUUUUGGAGGCAACCUGUGGUGUUUCGAGGAUCAGAUAAUCAGGUUGCCUAUCUCAGAGUUAUUUGCGUUGGAGCAAGGCAAGUUAUUAUUCCUCCCCUUGAACAUAAUUACCCUAUAUUCUAUAUCUCUAUUCUAUGCAUUAGUCAUUCAUGAUUUUGAAUGCAUAACCUGAACAUAUAGCAAACCAGAUAUAUGCUAGAUUUGCUUAGCCCUGCCUAGUUAGUCUGCAUAAAAAUAUAAUGAACUUAGAUUGGGACAGUACGUAGGAAUUGGUUGAUUUCCGGGUGGCUAGUACUGUCUCAGUCGAUAUAGUUAUUACCAAGUACUUAUGUCAAACGAACGAGUACGACCGCAAUUCUAGAAUGGGGACAGACCUUGCAAAGUAGGUUGUCUAGCAAAGGUGGUACCUCUGUACAGUGGUUCUUAUUUAAGUCCUCGAGCAGGAGGCAAACAUAUGCCGCGAAGGGCAAAUAUAACAUUUACCGAGGCGCAGGUAAAUGAUUUGUUGAGCUCAAGUGUGUGUGUAUUGUGAAAACCUGGUUGAGAUGACGGGGGUCUCUCAACCAGUUCUCUCUCUAAAAACCUCGGGAACGCCAGAACUCCUCUCACUGCUGAUAACGUUACGUUCAGAGCGCAUGAGGAUGAGAGUUCAUGGAACAGGUGCCACUGAUGUUAGUAACCGAAAAGCUUUGCCAUGACUAAGCUAAUGAAUAUUGGCAUGUCAUGGAUUGCGGGUAAAGCGUACAUUUACUGCAGUAAAGUAAACCUGAAUCUAUUCGAAUAGCCGUGCUCACGGAAUUGAGUAUCGGGACUCAUAUGGUACUUUGGUUAGAAACCUAAUUCAAGAUUUUACUAAAUGCUGCUGCAUUUAAAACAUCAGGCUUUCUAUUUCUAUACUCUCUGCCUUCUGCAAGUAAUCGUAAUCCUACUCAAAUAUUACCUUUUUAUACAUUCAUUAUUGAAUAUAAUAGCUUGCUGAGUACGUUGUACUCACCCUUGCUUCAACCUCCUUUUUCCAGAGUUAAAUUGAAGUUCUUGCCAAAGCCAGGAGUUCAAUCAUAUAAGUUAGUCUUAUUUCAACCUAGUUCACAAAUCUAGAUUAGUUAGAUGGUUUAAGUCUAUAGCAAAAUAUUAGAGUUGAGACACUCUAUAGCUUCUGCUGUAAUAGUUAGCCACAAUCUUGUAAAUUCCCCUAUUAAUUUAUGUAAUAACAUCUCCUUUGGAGCCUUGUUCAAAUGUACGCAAUGAAAAUCCAGAUUGUUGAAGCUGUAUCAAUCUACUGAUCCAGGGCUUGAUACAGUUAAACAUGUCGGUUUCCGAAUCAUUAGUUUUGGGAUCCGACAAUAUAUUUGUUACAAUAAUAAUAUUCCACUAGUAUUAGGUAUACUAACCUUUUGCAGCGAAUGACAAUAAAGUGGAGGAGAAUCGACAUCAACUCGGACGAUAAAUCAAUUGGACGGUGUCGAGAACCAGACUUAUGUAUGAAUGGGCCAAGAACUCAGAAAUAACACGACACAUUGGGCCAAAAUUCACAAGUCUAUGAAGGAGGACAACAAAGGAGGCCGCCAGUCGAAGAUGGGUUGGGUUGGGCCAGCCCAUGGUUCGGCCGAACCUCCCAUGGCGCCGAUGGAUGCACGGUUUGGAUGGACGGUUGGAUUUGAUCCCCAAUGACGGUUGGAGGGUAUUACCGACCAUUCCAACCAUCACAACCGUCAUUACCUGCCUAUAAAAGGAGCUCAUCUUCUCACUUCACUCACACACCUCGAGCAAUAGCUAUCUCAUUUCUCUCAAGUUUAGUUUUAGCUGGUGGAAUAGGAAUAGAGUAGAAAUCAGGAGUCCGGAAGCCUUCAGAAGAGUUCGGGUAUGGCUCUAGUAACUUUUCUCUUCUCUUUUGUAAGCUUUGUACUUUUACUAGAAUACUCAUCUAAAUACAUUUAUGGUAUUGAAGUACUUUCCGAGUAUAUGAGUACCUACUUUACAUUAUGUUCAUGUUAUACUGAAUAUACGGCUAGCUUAUCUGGGAGAUGCUUUGGUGCUGGUAUAGUGUUUGCUUAUGCAAUUACUCUAUGUCAUGACGAUGAUAUUAGAGUAGUAUCUAGUAGUUUAGACGUGGUGUCUAGAUUACGGGAUAUCAUUAUUUGGGGUUCUAUAUUACGGAUGAGAGGUGGGCCGCUGAUGGUGACAGCUCAGUACGGGUAUUCCUCCGUGUCAGUACAUAAUCCUAAGUUAAUUCCCUGGGGAGGGUAUUCCUCCGUAUUUAGCCCUGGUUGUAUGGUCAUGACGGGCUGUCGUAAGGAACUCGGCAGUCAGGGGUGGCUUCUCGAAGUACAAGGAGGGCAUCGGAUAUAGGGUAUUAGCUAGUAUAUCGGUUAACUAGAAUGUAUGUAUACUAUGUAUAUCAGAAGUAUUGGAAUAGAUUUUCUUUCUCUUUUCUUUCCACUUAGCUUAAAUGAUAUAUUAUGAGAAUGAGUAGUUAAUGCUUGUGUAUCACUCUACCCAUGGAUUAUCUUAACCCCAGCUUACAAUAUGAUUAUCACAAGUAAUAUAUAAAUUAUUAGUCAAGUUCUCUGUACAUGGUCUUCCCACGGGAUAAAACAAAUACAAUACCCUUGGAAUACUCUCGGGUAAAAUGCUACAAUGGUAUACCCGUGCGCUAGCGGAUGAAUUCUGUAACCAUAAUAUACCAGAAGUAUUUCUGUGCUAUUGCUGGGAAUUAUUUUAUAUUUGCCUCUGUAUAAUCAUUUUCCUUUGCAGGCUAACCUUGGUUGUUUUCACUUAUGUUGUGAAAACAGGGUAGUGCAUGACUGGUUUCAACUUGCCGAAAAACUUCAAAUAAAAUCCAGAAGCUUUCUUCCAGAGCGUCAGGCCGCGAGUCGCUGCUUCGUAGAAAACUCGAUGGACAAAGAAACCAGCCGUACCAGCGCCACCGACCUUCAAGACUAUGCCUAACAAGACUCUCUGCGAGUUCGCUGCUCCCUCUACUGACAAUGUGGCCAUUGGGCCGCAGGUCAACAUAGGAGAUGUGGAUUUCGACUUGAAGUCCAGCCUCAUCACGAUGGCGCAAGCUAGCCCGUUCUGUGGCAAGCCUAAUGAGGAUGCCAAUGCUCAUCUGCAACAGUUCCUGGAGAUCUGUAGCACGUACACCAUCAAGGGCGUCAGUCCCGACGCCGUCAGGCUGCGACUGUUUCCGUUCUCCCUUCUCGGGAGAGCGAAGCAGUGGUUCUAUGCCAACCGUGUAGCUAUCAAUACCUGGGACAAAUGCUCUACGACAUUCCUCUCGAAAUUCUUCCCGAUGGGCAAAACCAAAGCCCUUCGUGGAAGGAUUUCAAGUUUCCAGCAGACAAGGGAUGAGUCUAUUCCGGAAGCAUGGGAACGACUACAUGAGUACGUAGCCGCCUGUCCUCAUCAUGGGAUGGACGACUGGCUGAUCCCGCAGAACUUUUAUAAUGGACUCACCCCGAUGUCCCGUGAUCACAUGGACGCGGCAGCUGGAGGAGCGUUCUUCUCUAAAACGGUUCAAGGAGCCAUUGAUCUAAUAGAGAAGAUGGUCUCCAAUAUGGGUUGGAGCGAGGAACGACUACAGACCCAUUAGCAAGCCAUGCACACCGUCAAGGAGACAGAGUUACUUGCUGCCAAACUGGACCUCCUCAUGAAGCAAUUGGACGACCACGAGAAACGGCCGCAAGGCACCGUCAAGGCCUUGGACUCUCACGCCACAUGUGAGGUCUGCGGCAACACGGGUCAUUUUGGGAAUGACUGCCCAGAAAGCCGUGAGGAGGCGAUGUACAUGGGCAACAACAACAACAGGUAUCGUCCACAAGGAGGUCAGGGGUGGAACAAACCAUGCCCAUAUUAUCAAGGAGGUAACAACAACGGUAAUAACCAGUCCUCCUUGAAGGAUCUCGUUUUUGCGCAAGCUAAGACCACCUAUGCGCUAAGCAAAAAGCUUGCGGCUAAUGACAAGGUCCUAGAAAACAUAUGUCAAGUUAGAUGGCUUUGCUUCUGCUUUUCAAAAUCAGUUGCGCUUUAAUAAAAUGAUAGAAACCUAGCUAGCUCAGUUGGCAUCCUUAGUCCCUGCAAAUCAAACUGGGAGGAUCCCGGGGCAACCUGACUCCUCCAUUGAAAAUAAGGGCCAUCACGACGAGGGGAGGUAAGUCCACUCGUGAUCCGCCAUAUCCUAACCCUGUAGGAACUAAUGGGAUAUCAAAAUAAGUGCCAUCUAAUGACUCGGCUGGCAAGGAAGUUCCGCCAGAAAAGACAGUGCCGCAAGAGUACUGCGACACACGGUUGCUAUCGUUCCCUCAACGGAGUAGGAAACCGUCAGUGGACGAGCAAUUCGCUCGUUUUGUUGAAGUAAUCUAGAAGAUCCACAUCAACGUGCCGUUGUUGGACACUAUGCAAGUGCCAACAUACGCCUGUUAUCUCAAGGACAUACUCAACAACAAGAGACCACUCCCAACAACGGAGGUGGUCAAGCUGACGGAACAAUGCAGCAACGUGAUACUCCAUAAGCUCCCGGAGAAGAAGAAAGAUCCGGGGUGUCCUACGAUCACCUGCUCGAUCGGGGCACAACAGUUCGACCAGGCCUUGUGCGACCUUGGUGCCAGUGUCAGCGUCAUGCCAAAAGACGUCUUCGACAAGCUCUACUUCACGGUGUUGGCACCAACACCAAUGCGCCUUCAACUGGCUGAUUCGUCAGUCCGUUACCUGGCAGGGAUAGCGGAGGAUGUGCCAGUCAAGAUACGAGAUUUCUUCAUCCCGGGGAGCCAGUUUCUUAGCACUGCAGGAGACAACAUUGACGUGGGAACGGGGAGUAUCCAUUUCCACAUCAACGGCAAGGAAGAGAAGUUUGAGUUUCAACUGAGCACGGAAUAAUGCUCCAUGGUUAGAAUAAAGUACGGGCCGAACCCAUAGAAUAUUCAAGAGGUCGAAGUGGAGCCACCUAAAACAGACAGCCUGGUGAAAUUCAUUCAGAAUUUCCUAGAAAAGAAAACAACAAUGCCUACGAACCGUUAUUGGAAGACGCCGGUAGAACCACCCAUACCGGCCAGGAAGCUAGAAGCAGUUGGCUCAAAAGAAGCCGCUGUCCGCACCAAAACCAAAGAAGGUGUGGAGGGAGAAGCCAAAGACGCCCGCUCCGUCACCUCCAGAGACGGGUAGAAAAUCCGCAAACUGAACUGGAUGGAGGUAUAGUCUUGCACGUCGGACUUUAAAUGACGCGACCUUCGCCAACAGGUUGAUUGGUAUGUAUCCGCAUAUUUACUUUCAACAAUUUAAAUUUUUGCAUCAUCACAUGUUUGAAUUUCAAAGUUGCAUUUAGGAUUUUUGAAUUUUUAGGAAAUUCUUCAAAUGAACUUUUCAGAGCAAACCAAAAUAAAAUUUUCAGUGAAAAUUUAUUGUGCCACAACCACACUGACCGUUGGAACCCAACGGCCGAAAGUGGGGUUGGUUGGGCCCACUGUGGGUUCGGCCGAACCAGCGAGGCCAACGGUCGGCUGCCUCCUUCUUUGAGGCAACGGCUAGUGGGCCCCACAGGUCGGUUUUGACCGUGUGGGUGCACUACUUAAGCCAACCGGCCGAGAGAGGGAAUUCCACCCCAUUUCAACACAUUUUCAUUCCCUCUCCAAAGUUUGCUCUCAAGUUCAUUCAAGCUUUGAUAGUUUCCCUCAAAUUCAAACACUAGUUGCAUAUAUACAAGUUGCUUUCGUGAAACUAACUGGCGGGUGAGAUUCUUGUCAUUACUAACCUCUGCCGAGUUAGUCCGUUCCUGCUCCAUUGUGCAGAAUGAGAAGACAACUGUCUCGUCUGUUCAAGGGGUCCGGCUCUUCAUCAAGUCAUCAUGAUGAGUCUAGUACUUGUUCAUCAGCAGAUGUCUCGAUGGAGGACGCCGAAGCUCCGCGAUGACUCCUAAACGACACCGACCUCGACCUUGUCAGUGAUCGGGAGAGACAAGACUACUACAUGCUGAAUGACCGGGAGUAUGCUCACACGCGAGAAUACUCACCGGAGCUGCUAAAAAACAUAGGUAUGGAUGCUGAAUUUCGUACUAUUUGGAAAGCUGUUGGUUGGCAGAGAUUUGCUGUGGUAGAUGAGCCUGGUGCUCGUCUGCUUACUUUACAAUUUCUGUGCACUUUGAAAGAAAUAGAAGAUGUAAUUUCCUUUCGUUAUUUCCGUGAAGAGUUUACACUUACAUGGAAAGGCUUAAGUACACUUCUUGAUUUUCACGAUUCCUGUAAAAUCGAUCUCCAGAAAGGAAUUUCUGGGUUCGAGAAAAUUAGGUUUUGGGAAGAUAUUUAUGGUGCUCCAAUUUGCAAGAAACCUAGAACGAAUGAUAUCCAUAAUCCUACACUUAGGCUCAUGCACAAAUCGAUUGAUAUGGCUUUGUUUCCUAGAGGUGAUCUGAGGCCCAUUAGGGCAGAUGAAUUGAUUAUCAUGUUUGCCAUGGUUAGAAAGAUCCAAAUUACUCCUGUGAAAUGUAUGAUAAGGCAAUGGUUAGAAAGUAUAAAGUUCUCUGUUCCUGUUGAGUGCACUUCUCUGAUUACUCGGAUAGCAAAAGGGCUAGGGGUCGUUAGCGACCAAAUUGCUUUUAUCUCAGCCGCUCAUCCGUGUAUUGAUGAGGCUUAUCUAGUGCAAGGGCACAUUCUGAAAAAUGGAGUAGACGGAUCUUUGAUUUACUUUUUCCCCAGUUGUACAAAUGAAAUCCCGUUGCCAAAUGCGGGGUAUCAUUUGUACAACUGCCAUGAACUAACCAUUCCCCUGUAGACCAUAGAAGAAUCUCGCGCAGGUGGAGCAUACAGGGAGACGCACAACAUGACAAGAAAUGAACGAGAAAGUUCACACCCGUGCAGAUGUAUGAGGCAGGUUGGGAGCCAAUUGGGGAUGCACCCGGAUGGACCCAUGCUCCACGUCACAGUAUUGGAUUCUCAACCUGGGCAAGUGCCAGUGAGGACCGGUGGCGUGCGCCUCAUGACAUCCAAUGGGGGGACAAUCAACCUUCCAGAUCAAGUGGUGUGCUUCCAUCUUCAAGUGAAUGGCGCUCAAGUUCCUCUCGUUGGGACUUGGGUGAAAUCACUAGGAGAAUGGACACACUUGAUAUGCAGAUGGGAGGAGGACAACAAAGGAGGCCGCCAGCCGAAGAUGGGCUGGGUUGGGCCAGUUCAUGGUUUGGCCGGCCAAACCUCCCGUGGCGCCGAUGGAUGCAGGGUUUGGAUGGACGGCUGGAUUUGAUCCCCAAUGACGAUUGGAGGGUAUUACCGACCAUUCCAACCGUCACAACCGUCAUUACCUGCCUAUAAAAGGAGCUCCUCUUCUCACAUCACUCACACACAUCAAGCAAUAGCUCUCUCAUUUCUCUCAAGUUUAGUUUAGUAGUAUCUAGCUGGUGGAAUAGGAAUAUAGUAGAAAUCAGAAGCCCGGAAGCCUUCGGAAGUGUUCGGGUAUGGCUCUAGUAGCUUUUCUCUUCUCUUUUGGUAAGCUUUGUACUUUUACUUGAAUACUCUUCUAAAUACAUUUAGGCCCUCUUUGUUUAGACUUAUAAGCCAACUUAUAAGUCAAAAAGUCUAAGCGAAAACAAACAAGCAGCUUUUUCAUUUGGCUUUUUUGAAGCUAUAAGCCACUCUAACACUAUCAAGCCAAAAGCUAGGUUGGAGAAGCUUUUUUGGCUUAUAUGAGAUAGAUGUAUGACUCCACCACUAAACUUAGGACAUUAAAUCCACUGGCUUAUAAAUCAUAUAAGCCAAUAAGCUGACUUAAAAGUCUGGGCCAAUAAGCCUAAGCCUAAACAAAGAGGGCCUUAUGGUAUUGAAAGACUUUCCGAGUAUAUGAGUACCUACUUUACAUUAUGUUCAUGUUAUACUGAAUAUACGGCUAUCUUAUCUGGGAGAUGCUUUGCUGCGGGUAUAGUGUUUGCUUAUGCAAUUACUCUAUGCCAUAACGAUGAUAUUAGAGUAGUAUCUGGUAGUUUAGACAUGGUGUCUAGAUUACGGGAUAUGAUAUUUGGGGUUAUAUAUUGCGGAUGAGAGGUGGGCCGCUGAUGGUGACAGCUCAGUACGUGUGUUCCUCCGUGCCGGUAUAUAAUCGUAAGUUGAUUCCCUGGGGAGGGUAUUCUUCCGUAUUUUGCCCUGGUUAUACGGUCAUAACGGGCUGUCGUAAGGAACUCGGUAGUCAGGGGUGGCUUCUCGAAGUACCAGGAGGGCAUCGAGAUAGAGGGUAUUAGCUAGUAUAUCAGUUAACUAGAAUGUAUGUAUACUAUGUAUAUCAGAAAUAUAUGAAUAGAUUUUCUUUCUCUUUUCUUUCCACUUAGCUUAGAUGAUAUAUUAUGAGAAUGAGUAGUUAAUGCUUGUGUGUCACUCUACCCUUGGAUUAUCUUAACCCUUGCUUAGAAUAUGAUUAUCACAAGUAAUAUAUAAAUUAUUAGUCAAGUUCUCUCUACAUGAUCUUCCCACGGGAUAAAAUAAAUACGAUACCCUUGGAAUACUCUCGGGUGAAAUGCUACAAUGGUAUAUCCGUGCACUUGCGGAUAAACUCUGUAACCAUAAUAUACCAGGAGUAUUUCUGCGCCAUUGCUGGGAAUUAUAUUUCUAGUAAUGAUGUUAAGAAAUACCAACAGUAUUCUCUACAGUCCAACCAUCGGGGCCAAUCUCAUCUGCGAGUAUUUUGCAUUCGCUUAUUUAAGCGAUAUGGCAGUGACCCUAACGAACAAAUUUUUCGAAAAUCCGAACAGAAAUAUCAUCGAAGGAUUUGGGAUUGUGCAAGAUGUGCAUGUCUGCUUUGAAGACAGGGAGGCGAUCUUGGAUUUCCACGUCUUUGAAAUUCAAGAUUUCGAGAUCCUAAUCGGGCUUCCCAUUGAGCAACUUCUCAUUAACACACCCCGAUUAGACAGUCUCAAAAUAAGACUGGGAGGGAAUGAAUUCUCCGUUCCAUUCUCACGGGCAAGGAUCUCCUUGACUGACCCUCUCCCAGAAAUUGAGUCAGCGGAGGAGGUUAUGGUAGUUCCCCUCACGAGUCUCCCGAGGCCUUUCUGGAAGAUGAAGUCCCCGAUUUCAUCAAGGAAGAGGCGGAACCCGGUGAGACUCUCGAUCUACCAAUCAUGGAACCGCCACCUCGACCUCUGCUUGAGCUUAAACCUCUAUCUCAGGGCCUACGCUAUGCUUUCCAACACAAUGAUAGAGAAGCCUCUGUCAUAAUGUCACGCCCAGAAAUUCCUGAAUAGAAUUCCAAGCAGAAUGUGCAUUAAAAUCCCCGUCCAGGACCGGCCGGGGUACACAAACGACAAAGUUGACAUACAGAUCCACGUCUUACAAACAUUAUAAAAGUCUUACAUAAAUGCAGCAGAAAACUUAAAAGAUAACUGGAGCUAAGCCUUGACUUGGACUGCAGCGGGAACACCACUCCACAGGCAUCCUCGACGGCACGGACGAAGCCUACUCCUCGGAAAAGACACCAUCUGACGCAUACUCAAACUCUGGGGGUUUGGGGAAAAUAGAGCAAGACUGAGUACUACCCACUGUACUCAGCAAGUCAUACCGGAAUAGGGGUAUAAUGCAGGGAAUUAUCAAGGGAUAGCUAUGAUGGUUCAUUUGCAUAAAGCGAGCAUUUAUAAACCGAAGUUGGAAGCAGUAAAACAGUCGUAAUAAUUAAUCAAUAUUAAUCAUCCACUAUCCAACGCUAUACCACGUUGCAACAGGCCCAACCAUCCACCUGAACUAAUCAGUUCCAUCAGACUACACUAGGGUGAGACUAAUCACGGUGAAUCUGGUUGACCGCCCAUAACCGUGGGCACGGCUAUUCGAAUAGUUUUACUCUGAUAAGAGGUGUACAACUGUACCCACAAGACACAGCCCCACGACACGUUUCCGUGCGCCGACAUGCCACCACGACAUACCGGAAAGAGGCCGUGACAGGACCCUUCGCAUAACCCCCUCUAACCAAGCACACCACACCUCAGGUUUCACCCCCUCUCCUCGCAAGGCAGUGGGCAGUCCCCUCUCGUGCCUAGGUGAAUCCGGAAGCCGCAUAGGCCGUCGCAGGGCCCAUCCAAACUCCAUCACGCCCACCCUUGCCUGGAUGCGUCGGCUAGAGGAAAGCUACACUACAAGCCCAGCCGUUGCCCACGCUAGCUUGUGGUAAGUACGAUAAGUUCUUCCAGGGCAUCCCGCGAACCGGUCCUUAAUUGCCAUGGGCGCGACCAUCAAAACCAUGCACCCACAGCCCACCAUUUAAUAUAUUUUAAUUAACCAACACCGGAGCGGUGGGCAUUAACCAACAUCAUUUCUACAAUCUGAUAUCUAUGCAUUAAUGUUGUCCCCCAUUGUGUGCUAGUUGAACUAAGCAAGGCUAAGCAAUCCCUAGUCCAACCUCUAGUCAUGUUAUAUCCCAAGCUAAGAAAGGAACAUCGUACCAAAAUAGCAUGGCUAUAACAGUAGGUAAACAUUCCAUGGUAAUAUUAUAAAACAAUGCAGUAUUUGAACGGAAACAAAAGAGCAUUUGCAAUAUAGGAUCAACAUGUUCAAGUGACAAGCAUGACUUGCCUUGCACUGCUGCUGGAGGAACCUCGGUGACUAUUUCAAAGUACAACGGAGCGUCAGGAGAGCCGGAAUCUAAGCGACAUACAAAGCAAACAAUACAAACAGGCUAUAAGACUACUGAAACAGAGAACAAAACUAUUUUUAAUGGAUUCUACACAUUUUUCUUGAUUUACUGAGACUUGAAUAGGCUUAAAUGGAGCUCGGAUGAAUUAGAUAUGAAUUUUAGAAGAUUCACUGUGUUUUUACUAUAAACAGAAAAAUCCUUAAUUGAAUUAUUGCGCAAUAAAUAAAUCCCGGGAGAGAGAGGGGCGGCGCCGACAUGCGGGCCCCACAUGGCAACGACUCGGGGAGGGCGGUUCACGGUGGACCGAGUCCACGGACCGGGGAAGGGGCGGCGCGCCACGUGGUGCACACGUGGCGCCGACGCGGCGCACAUUCGGCAACCACGCGGGUGGCCAAACCGACGGCCCCAAUCUACCCGAGGGUAGAUCGGACGGCGGCGGGGAGCACGCGGCCGGCGCGCACGGGCGGCUCGAGCCGGCCCGGCGACCAUGGCGCACGGCGGCGCUACCGCGGGACGGCGACGCGGCAGACGGCGGCGUCCGACGACAAGCGGCGGCGGUGCGACGGCGCGGCGACACUGGCUGUGGCUAAGCGGCUAGGCAGCGACGCGACGACUAGACGGCGCGGGAGAUAGGGAGAGAGAAAGAGGAGGAGGUGCCUCACUGACGACAAGCGACGAUGGCGAGCGACGGAGGACGAUGGUGUCACACCCUAAAAAUCCCAAAUAUAUAAAUUGUUGUUUAAUUGGAAUUAUUAGAAUUGAUUUUAAAAGCCUAGAGGAGAAGAUCUAAUUUUAAAUAAUAAAUUCCAAUAUAAAAUUGGGCCAGAUAAAAUUUUAUUAAAUACUUUGCUUGAUUCUAUAGUUCCUAGAUUUUUCUGGGAUUUAUUUGAGCCAAGGAAGUAUUUUUAAUAAAUGGAAUUGCAUUUCAUGAAUAAUUUAAAUUGGAAAAGUUUUAAAAAGUCUUCUUUUGGCUUUGGGCCGAAAGUCGGCCCAAACCUCUCUCUCUCCUCCCCGGCCCAGGUCGGCCCACAGCCGAGCGCCGCCCGCGCGCGCGCGUCCCGCUCACUGACAGGUGGGGCCCACCUGUCAGUCUUCGUCUACCUCCAGCCAUCGCCGCGCCCGAACCCUAACUGAGCCGCGCCGCCGUCUCCUUCCAAAUUCGUUCAUCCUUUUCCCGAUCCGUUGAAAUUGAUAGAGGGGAAAUGAUCCCCGAGAUCCACUCUACCUUUUCUCUUUUGGAAUCGUUGGCUAAAAUCGUUUGGAAAUCCGUGGAUUCGAUCUCGAAUCAGAUUCGUCUCUCUCUCCGAACCCUAACCUUUCCAUCGCCGCCGCCAGUCGCCGUGGGCCUUCGCCGCCGCCCCCCUAGCCUCUAUAAAAGGACCCCCGGUGUCUCCUCUACCCACCGCCACCCUCACUUUCGUAUCUCGUCACCGGUAGAGCCCUAGCAUCGUGUAGCCUAGCGCCGCCGUCGCCGCCAUUCGUCCAGCCGUGCGCCGCCGUUGCUCCGGUCGUCGUCGUCGUUCGGGAAGGCCGUCGUCGUGAUCGUCAUCUCGUCGCCGUCCUCGUCCGCCCCUCCGUCGUCGCCGUAGAUCGCCGGAGCCCCGCCGUCGUUGUCAAGCCGAAGGUCACCGCCGCUUCUUCCUCAACGCCGUCGCCAUCCGUUGACCUACCGCCGCUGCUUUGGUCACCGGUGAGUUCGCCGUGUCGCCCGCAACCCGUAGGUGUCCUCCGUUCGCGUCGUCGUGCCGUCGUUCGCCGGCGAGCAUGCGCCGUCCGAGCCGUCGCCGGUGACGACGUCACCGCUGACGUCAUCGACGCCGUCCGCCGUAGACCGGUCGUAGACCGUUAGAUCUUGUCCGUCCGUUUUGGAUAGAUCGAUCUCGGCCGUUUGUUUCUGUGAACCGCCGCCGUGCACCCGGUCCACCGUGAGCCGAGUCCGCUGACGCAAUAAUCCCCUUUUCCUUUUCAAAAAUAAUUCAUGAGAUAUGGGUUCAGCUGGAUAUUAGAUAUAAUUACUUAGCCAUGCUUAGAAACAUUAGCACAUAGUUGGGAUAACUUAUGCUUCACUAUUAUUUAAUGAUGGCUUAAUGAUAGCUCAUGAUGGUUAAUCAUGAUUGGUUAAUUAAUUAAUUUGCCAACUAAAACCUGAUAAUGGUGGGUUGUGAGCAUAUGGUUUUGAUGGUUGUGCUCAUGACAAUUAAGGACCGGUUCACGAUUUUCGGUUGUGAAACAUUUACCGUGCCAACCACAAGCCAGCGUAGGCAAUGGCUUUACUUUCUGUAUAGUAUGGUUCAUAGUAGAGCACCAGACUGUGAAGUGGCAGAGAUAAGCCCACGGGGGUCGCUGGGUAGUCCAUACCUUGUUUAUAAGGGGGUGAUUAUGAUCCAGGAACAGUGCACUGCUUUGAAUUGUAUUAUAUAGAGGGUAUUGUCACAAUCUAUAUUCGGGUACUUGUUAAGUAUCGCGACGCAUGGUUGACAUGAUGUUGAGGUUGUGUCUUGUGGGUACAGUGCUACACCUCUGGCCAUAGUUUAAACUAUUCGAAUAGCCGUGCCCGCGGUUAUGGUCGCGUCUAACAAUGUCUUUCGUGAUUAGUUUCACAUUCAUGCUUGUCAGGAGGUGGCAAGGAUCGCCAUGGGGGAGCUCCGCGAAAGCUACAAUGAUCGGUUGGCCGACACCGAGUAUCGCUACCAUCCUCGUCAACCCCAAGGAAGUGACCGUGGCAGCUACCUUGAACCUGCAGGGAUUGAGAAUGAUGCUACCACAAGGCAUUUGGUUGAGAUGCUGUGGGCCAUGGAUGAGACCCGCGGUGAGAUUGUGAUAGCAGCUCAGGAUCGCGAAAACCGGAAUCGCGGCAAGAUUUGCAAGCUGGAGGACAAGGUGGAUCGUUUAGAGAAGGAGCUAGCCGCGUUGAAGGGAGAAGCACCACCGCAAAAGGCCAGGGUUCAUCUUACCGCAAGGAAGAGAGCUCUAUUCGUUCCUCGCUACCAGUUGGCGCCAAAGGUUCGUGUGGUGGAAAAAGAAACUAUCCCAGCCCCAGCGGAUCCUCCGGUCGUCAACGUAAGUGAUGAUGAUGAAGAAGAAUCCAAGCGCACCCAUUCCAAGGUCGAGUGGGGAGCAACUCAAGAUGAUGGAGACGCACCGAACGAGCCUUCAAUCAACUCCGAUGCCCGGAAAACCUAGAAUGCCUUGUCAAGUCGUUAUCUUAGAUCGUUGUGUUAGUUUGCUUGUUUAAGUUUGGUUGUGUGUGUGGGUCUUGCAUGUGGUUUACAUCAGUGGUGGGAUGUAAAUGCAUGCCUUUGUUUGCUUCCGAGUGUUAGGAAGUUGGUGAGUUUAGUGGUGUGAGAGUCUUCAGUUUUGUAAUAAUGAAACUCAGUUAAGAUCAAUAAAAGUUAAGUUAGUAAAAAUUAAUUCCCUGUCCUAAGUAGUUUUUCCCGUUUCUCUUUUUGUGUUCCUAUCUAUGCCAGAUGUUGCUUACUCGCAGCAACGGGAAUGGCCCCAACCCCAACAACAACAACAACAAUGCAGAGAAUCCCACGCUUGCUCAAGUCCUGGCUCAACAGGCACAGCUUAUGAAUUUGAUGAUGCAGCAACUCCAGAACCAGCAGAACCAGGAAAACAACCAUGCACCUCCCCCAAAUAAGCUGGCAGAAUUUCUUCGCGUGAGGCCGCCUACUUUCUCUAGCACCACCAAUCCUGUUGAAGCUGGUGAUUGGCUGCACGCCAUAGAGAAGAAGUUAGACCUGCUUCAGUGCACAGAUCAAGAGAAGGUUUCUUUUGCUUCACACCAGCUGCAUGGCCCUGCCUCUGAGUGGUGGGAUCACUUCCGUCUCAACAGAACUACUGCUGAACCUAUCUCUUGGCUUGAGUUCACCGCUGCUUUCCGGAAGACGCACAUACCAUCGGGAGUGGUGUCUCUCAAGAAGAAGGAGUUCAGGUCGCUCACUCAGGGAUCCCACACUGUCACCGAGUAUCUGCAUGAAUUUAAUCGCCUGGCUCGUUAUGCUCUGGAAGAUGUGCGCACUGAUGAAGAGCGCCAAGAGAAGUUCUUAGAGCACCCGCAAUGGUAAAGUAAGGUGCUCUCUAUAAAACAUGUACAUCUCAGCAAUAGACUAGAUUAAUAGUAAACCACCUCAAUAGUAUGUCUACAACAGUAUCUAUAGCUCUCUCAUGCAUUGCCUCGGUUUUCUCUAUAGACUAUCUCUAAGUUAGUAGAUAGCUUUGCUCUCUCUCUUCAUUUAAUAUCUUCCAAAUAGGAAAAUAUGCUGACAUGGAUCUCUUGUAGAGAGCCUAUAGAUAACCAUUGUGGGUGCCCUAAAGGGCUAUAUGAUGAGCUUUCUUACCCACUCAUGACUGGGGAUUAUCAUGAUUUCCAGAAGUUAGUGGAUAAGGCUAUUCGCCAGGAGGACAAGUACAACCGCAUGGAGCAGAAGAAACGCCGAAUUGCUCACUUCAAGGCUCAGCAGGGGAAUAGUCAGAGGCCGCGUCUUGCUAUGGGACCUCAGUCAGUGUCACAGGGAGGUUCUUCGUCGGUUGUUCGUCCGCAACGUCAGUUCUUCAACAACAGUGCUGGCAACAACAACCGCAACCAAGCUCCGCGCUCUGUUGCAGCUCCGACACAGCAUCAGCCUGCCAAGAGGGAGCAAGGCAGUAAGCCCGAGGUGUGCUUCAACUGUGGAGACCCAAGACAUUACGCUGAUAAGUGUCCGAAGCCCCGCCGCACGAUGGUUGUCCCUGCCCAGAACAACUCCUCCGCACCAGCGACAAAGGCACGUGUCAACCAUGUUGCUGCUGCAGAAGCUCAACGUGCUCCAGAUGUGAUUUUGGGUACGUUCCCUGUUAACUCAGUUCCUGCAACAGUGCUUUUCGAUUCUGGUGCUACGCAUUCCUUUCUAUCUAUGAGUUUUGCUGGAAACCAUGGGAUGGAAGUAGAAGAUCUUAGACGUCCUUUGAUGGUUAGUUGUCACGACCGGAAAUAACCCAACGGGCUUUCCUGACGUGCGUGCAUUAAUCCUUGUCCCAGGAGGCAAGGUACACCAAAAGUUGAUACAAUUCAGAGUUUAACAAGCGGAAGCGUAAAUAGUUAACUUAUUACAUGGGCAGCGAAGGCCCAGCACACACAAAGACAAACGAGAAACAGCGGAAGACUAGGGCGACGACCACAGGCGCUUGACGGCAGGCACGAGCUAGACACCAAAGCCUUCAUCUUCAAGGAGCUCCUCUUCUGGGCUUGGGAAAAAUUUGAGCAAGACUGAGUACAACCACCGUACUCAACAAGACACACCCACAAGUGCAGAAUAAAUGCAAGGGAGUACAAGGGAAUUAUAAUAUGAAGGGUUAGGGUUGCAGUAAACAGCAUUUAAAGACAUUUAGUUGCUCAAAGCCAUUUUGUAAGCACGAUUCUAAAACUAUACAAUAUUAUUAAUCAAGGCCGUGAACCCACACGAACCUGCCUUAACCCAAGGCCUACGAUGAUUCAGACCGAACUGGCAACCCAACCCUGGGUCCCAGCUCGUCCUAAGCCAACCCAGGCCAUCCAUUCCACCUUUUAGUUGUUAAGCAGGUUUUAAGAAUUAAAGCACUAACUUGGGUACAUUGCUCGGCUUGCCCAUAACCGAGGGCGCGGCUAUUCGAAUAGAUUCUACUCUGAUCAGAGGUGUACAUCUUUACCCACAAGACACAUCUUCCUCACGUGCAACCACGUGCCACAUACCACCACGGUAUACAGACGGAAGACGUGACAUAGUUUCCAACCCAUCCUAGCCAUAGACAAGAGUACCGACCCAAUCCCGCCUACGGCCGGAACCCCCGGGACAGGCAG